GGACUUUGGGGUGUCGUGGAGUAAGUGGGGAGUUAGCAUAACCGUACCUGAAUAAUGUUCAGCUCUGACCCGUGUUUUCUUGGGAUGACCUCUUUUUUUAGUGGGCUUUCUUGGAUAUCGAAGAGAAGCAGGUGUCCCCCCCGUUUUUUUUUUUUUUGAGCCUCAUGAUGGGCUCAUCAGCUCAUGCUUUUUUGAACACCCCCUUUCUGAGAUGGCUCAUGGUUUUGAAGUGGCUGCAUCUCAAAUGAUCAAAAUGUGGUGGACCAGAAAUCUGGUAGUUGUUGAGCAAUGAGCAUACGGGCACACACAAUCCAUUUGUAAUACCAUAGGGUUUAGCCUAAUUCAUGGGAUGGGCUAAAGCUAAAGUUUAGAUAGGAGGAGAGAACUUUGUGUUUCCAUGAUAAGCAAACUAUAUUUUCAUUGGCUGAAAGGAACAUUUUAGGAGGCAUACGACAUUUGACUAUGUGCCCGGCGUAUAAUCAGCUGGAGAAAAGAUGCAAACAUAUACAUUCUUACGCCUUCUUUUCGCAAUCGAAUUACACUUACAGGAAAAAAUGGCCUAACUAAAAGAGAAGAAACGGGACCGAUUGUUUAGUCACUAUCUUGUCAGAUCUUUUCCUUUUGAGGACAAUAGCUGGUAGAACAGCAGCUCAUUCCAUGUAUCUGGCACUCCAGGAAGGCACCAAUGGCUGCAAUCCUGGGCGCUGGAUGCUGUUAAAUCUACCCCCUUCCGUCGAAAAACAGAUGGGUGGCCAUCGGUCCUUAGCCUGGACAGAUCGGUAAUGUUCAGAAUUGUCACAGGCAUCUUCAUCUGCUUUGAGAUCUGUUCAAGCAUCACGUUUAUCUCAGGCAUUGGCCACGCACAGCUGUCGUUAGGUUCUAGUGUGCUCUCUCUGCAGUGCCCUCCUGAAUUCCACUCUCCUCCGCUGAAACCAGCGAUAAACAUUACAUAAGCAUGCUGCAUAGAGGAGACCCAAGCAAGCCAGCAGCUCUGAAGUUGCCAGUGUUAGACUGAACAGUGGAGGACCAGACCUGAAAUGUGAUGGGGAUGAGCUCCGGAAGAACACUCGAGUUUUCCGUGGAUCGAUGUAGCGGUCGAUCCAUGAUGCCCAUGUGAUUAGUGCUCUUUGGAAAGCUGUAGAGGCUUCAAGGUGGGGAUGAACAUGAUCCCCUUCUUGAUAGAAAUUCACUCUGCAAUUAACACGUAAUCAUCAGAUGCUAGCAAUUAGAGUAUACCUAUGUAAAUACAUGAUCAGGCCAUUGUUUCUCUGGAAGGUUAAAGGAAACAAGAAUAUCAAAUAUUGAAUUUCUUUUAUUAUUUCAUUCCAAAUGAGAGCUAUGUUCCACGCAGUGAUAGCAUGAAUCAACACUCACCCAGCAUUUGUUUUGUGAUGCGACCACCAAUGAGCAGAGUUGAACACAAGCACAUCAGCACCUUUCCACCUUGAUGAGCUCUGAUCUAUGGUAUCAAUCCGUAGUGUCAUUGCGCGCUUUUGGCCGAUUCUUGCUUUGGUUUCAUGCACCAAAAAAUGUGUAGUAUGAUACUCCACACUGCAAUUAUAGUCCUGCAACAACAAUAUUGAGAUGACUAUUACACAGUAGUCUAGAAACUGAACGGAUUAGUUCUACAUCAGCUAUACAUCAUACGAACCAGGAACUUGAAGUUGUAAUACCCUUUUUGUUUAGUAAUCUUGCGGCCAUGAGUUUCACGAAUCCUUGAAGGAUCUGGGAUUGCUGUUCGUAGCAAGCACAUCAUGGAUUCCCAUUGGUUCCUGUUAAUGGAGUCUCCAACAAACACUAGUCUCUUUCCUCGCAGCAUCUCAAGCAUUUUCCUUGCAUUGAACCUAAAAUUACCGCAUGAAGUUAGUGAAUAGCAACUUUCUAGUAGCAUUUCCUAACUCGUAAGCAAUGGAUGAAGUGAGCAAAUACAGUACUAGCGUAGCAACACCUUGGGACAUUGCAAUGCUUAGGCUGCCACCUCAUCUUCAUGUAGCUUUGAUCCAUUCUUCCAUUAGCUUGGCAGCUGAACCCUUCAUCUAUAAAUGGGCAUGAAUUGCUCCCAUAGAGUGGAUAGCUUUCGUCGAACACCCAACUCCCGUCAGAAACAUCACACUGUGCUGCAUUGCUUUGCGCAGAAUCGAUGCUGCUCUUAGCCCUUUCUUGCUCAUCUGGAUUGACUGGAGCUCCUCCUGGGUUGUUCCCCAACGUUGAAUUAUCUGAGCUUUCCCAGUGCCCCCCUUUCUGAGAAGCAUAAGCUCCAUGCACAGACGAAUUGCGCCCAUCAUCAUCAUGGCCGCCUCGCAAGAAUUCAUCUCUCGUAUUCAUUGCAGGACCUGAAGCUUGAACAGAGAAAUUGACAUCUCGCGAAGACCCCGUUACCUCCAAUUUCUCUGCUGAUGCAGCUGCCGAACCAAGAGUUUCGUUGCUAAGAUUCUUGUCCUCAGCUAAGUUUGGCCUCUCCGAAAUCAAAUCUUUCGCUUUCGUCAGCCUCUCGCCACCACUGCCUUGAGCAGCAGCUUCUUUCACCUCCACAGCCGAAUCCAAGCCUCCAAGAGAGUGGUUUCUUGCUUCCCCAACCUCUUGCACUUUCAAGACUUCACCAUCCGAGGGUGCUCCACCAUUUCCUCCUCCAGUAGCAGUUUCUUGCGCCUCCGUUACCGAGCCCACGCCCCGCACCGACAAGUCUCCGGGACCAGCGGGGCGGGCUCCCUCCGCGACCGAAUCUUCUCUUCGGAGCCCAAGAACCGCCUCUUCGACCUCCGCCGCCGCUGGGCCGCCCCAGUAACCCCAACCACCCGCAACAACCGGCGCGGGGGCAGCGGCGAACGCCAAGGGAAGGUGGAGCGGGCGGCCCUGGCGGAGGGCCAAGAGGAAGCAGGAGAGGAGGGAUAAGGAGGCGAGGGAGACGAGGAGGAGGCUCUUCGGGCUCAGCAGGUGGCGGUGGUACGAGCUGGAGCAGGAGGCGGGGCUCCUCUGCCUCUCCAUUGGCCUGCGGGCGGCUGGGAAGGGUGGGGGGGAAGGAGGAGGCAGGUGAACAGCUUGCACGGCAAUGGCGAGUCACCGAAGUGAGCCGUGGAUCGUGUUGUGACUUGUGAGUCGGUGACGUGAUGAAUGUGAAGUUCGGGUGCUGCGCUGGAAAGAGUUAGGCCCGUUUGUUUCGUUUCGUUAGUACCUUCUAAAAUCUCUGUCACAUCAAAUAUUUAAAUACUAAUUAGAAAUAUUAAAUAUAGUUUAAUUAUAAAAUUAAUUGCACAGACGGAGAUUAAUUUGAAAGACGAAUCUAUUAAGCCUAAUUAGUCCAUGAUUUGACAAUAUGGUGCUACAGUAAAAAUAUGCUAAUGAUGGAUUAAUCAGACUUAAUAGAUUCAUCUCGGGAAUUAGCCUCCAUCUGUGUAAUUAAUUUUAUAAUUAGCUCAUGUCUAGUCCUCCUAAUUAGCCUUCGAAUAUUUAAUGUGACAUGAAUUUUAGUCCGGCUGUAAAAUGGCUUCGGGAAAGAAGCUUCCCAAAAUCCAUUCUCUGGAGCCAUUUGAGGGAGGGGGAGCCGAAAAAACUGCUCCCCGCGACUCCCUCCCUAACCCGCAUCCCCAGCAGACCAAAAUACCCCUGAAGUUGGAUGCAAUUACAGGGACGCAAAAUAUCCUGCAGCUCCCUCCCCAACGGCGGGCAUGGCGCGCACAGGGUGGAGGCGAGUGGCGCUACGACGCGAGGUGGAGGCGGCUAGCGUUGGGAGCGAGAUGGAAGCGGCGUAGGGGAGGAGGUGCGGCCGGAAGGCGCUGGUGGCGCGAGGGAAGGAGGCGAGGCAGGGGAUCGAGUGAGAGCUGAGCGACGAGGAAAAAGGAGAGCAGGAGGCGGUGGAGGAGUGGAUAAAGGAUAGAAGGGAAAUUAGAGAGGGGAGAAAAUAAGGAAAGAAAAGAGAAAAAUAAAAAAUAAAACAGAUAAGGGUAUUAUAAAUAUUUUAUCAUUUUUAUUCAUGUUACACAGCUAGAGAAGUCAUUUUAUCAAUAUUUUUUCAUCUAAAUAAGUCGAAGUUAAAAAAAUCUGCUUCACAAAACGAGUCAUAGGCGCAACCGUGGCCCCCAAACGAACCUUUAGAUGAAAAGGGAGCAAUGAUUGAUCAUUUAAAAGUGGCAGGACAUGUGAGUACGUGACGGAGAGCACCUCGCUGAUUCUGUCUCCAUUAAAUUAGUCUCCCAGCACCAAACAGUCAAAAUGCAAGGAAAAUGACAGACAUUCUGACAAGAUGACUAUAUAUGGGGAUUAGGGGUAAAUGAAAACCUCAAGCAAUCUUUUGAAUGGCUGAUCUCGCCUGAUUCUAAUUUCCACCCAAUGCAUCAUGAUGCGUCAACCUUGGAAACGUGUCUAUGUGGGUCGCUGAGUUUCCAGUUGUUUGGAGAUAAAAGGAGAAGAAGCGGGCAAAAGAAAUGAAGCAUUUCGGAAGCAAUUGCAGCACGCCUGCAGCUGAUGUAUGCCUGUCGCACUAACCAAAUUUCUACAUCCCGACGAGCAUUGUGAACGGAAGAGUUCACCCAUUUUUGUGGAAGAGCACUGCCUUACGGCUCGAUGUCAGUUAUCACCGCGGUAUCAAAACUACGAAUUGACCAAAGAAAUGAUCCGUGUACAUCCUUUGCAUGAUGCAUACAGAACAAUCGUGUAGCUUCAAGCAAACAAAUUAAUUGUACAAUGAAAAGUUUGGGCAUCUAUAUCACACGCAAGUAUAAUCUGUUACUAUUUUUUUGAACUUAAAGAUAAUCUGUUAUACUAUGAACCGCCGCUUAACUGCUUAAGCAAAGCAGCGACAGCGAGAGCCGAUCUCACAAGUGCGAGGCGCCGGCCGGCCGUCAGCUCGCCGCGACCAACGGCGUGAACACCGCCUUCGCAAGAACGUGCGUCUUCUUCUUUCCGAGCCCGAACCCGAAGAUGUGGUUGAUGUAAACGUCCCCGUCCUUCACCGUCGCCGACGCCCCCACCCGGUGGAUCGGCCCGACGUACUGCCCGGUGACGCUCGCGGUCUCCCAGUCGUCGGAGCUCUCCACCAGCCGGCUCGGCAUGCCGGCGACCACCAGCCUCGUCGCGGAGAGCAGCUCCAGCCCGUCCCCUCUCCUCAGCGACCCCUGCACCUUCACGACGCGCACCGUCUCCGUCUUCGGGUCGACCUUGAAGAGGUCGCCGCCGGAGGUGUGGAUGACGAGGAGGUAGCCGUUCGGGUGGUGCACGAUGCCGUUCAGGCCGAUGAGGUUGUGCCGCGCCCCCGGCCGCUGCGUGAACGUGGCGUUCCUGAUGACGCCCAGCAGCGCGCCGUCCGGGCUCACCUUCCAGAUCUUGCUACCCCUGGCGUCGGUCACGUAGCCGUUGCCGUCCUCGUCGGCGGCGACGUCGUCGGGAAACGUGGACUCGCCUGCAAAACCAAACAGCGAUGGGUUAAGCUGGGUACACGGCACAUCGUACUUAAUGUGUUCGGUCAUGAAGGUCUGUCAGUGAUAAAGCAGCUUAAAUACGUGCUGCCUGGAUCAAUCAAAUAACCAAACUUUCAUUAGGGAAGAAUUGGGACGUGCAAAAGAUUAUGGCGGUUCCAAGCUAAGUUUUAGAAGCAUUUAGCAGCCAUCUAAAACCUCCUAAAAAUGUGUUUGACUCCACCUCCUAAAAGUGACUAAAAGCAAUUAAUGCAGUGCCAAAAAGACCAUACAGCCCCUCCUUUGUACCCCUGCUCCUUCUCUGUAAUCCCCACCCCCUCUCCUCUUCUUCCUCAUGGCAGCCAUGGCCCUCGCUCUCCUCCUCGCCGUCUACACCGCCGCGCCCGUGGCCGCCGCCGGCGGGUCCGCGGCCAUGAACGGGAACCGCCUCCGCCCGCUGCUUCCUUCCGUCUAUCUCUCCCCCUCCCUCCAGCGACAGAGACAGGGAUGGGGCGAGGCAGAAGGAGGCGUUCGCGACGCGAGCUUGGUGAAGGCGGGGAGCCGCGGCCGCGCGAUUCGCGUCCGGGAUGGCCACGGGUGGCUGCGGCGCGGUGGGGCGGACGGGUGCCUCCGCCCUUGGCUGCUACGGGUGCCCGCCACCGGCGCCUCGGCUUCCGGCCCCGCCGCGGAAGGACGGGGUGGUGGGGCGCGUGAAUGCGGCGGACGGAGUGACCGGGCAGCCGCCGGAGGUGGAUGAAGGGGUGGUGGGCCGCGCGGAGGCGGUAGAGGAGGGGAUGGACGGGCGGCCACCCGAAGAUUGGAGUGAAGCCGGCGGUGAGGAGGAGCGGGGGCACCGCGGUCGGCCCGUGCGGCGGCACGAGGGAGCGAGGCCGGCGGAUCCGGCGGGCGGCGUGGAGGAAGAAGGGAGCGGCGGCGGGGAUGUGGGCGGCGGGGGUGGACGAGAAGGAUGGCGGGGAUAGGCGCGGGGGGUGGCGAUGCGUGCGGUCGGGAGGGGCAGUGGGGAUCCAAAUGGACUUUGGGAGUUUUAAUAGGAGGAGGUGGAGCUCCUAAAAUUUUUGGAAGGAACUUUUAGGAGGAGGUGUUUAGCUCUUUAUUCAAAUUAUAUUCAGAUUUUAGCUCCUAAAAUUUUUAGGAGGGGUAACAAGCAGGACCUAUAAAGGAAAAAUAAGCAGCAAGGAGUAUAACGUUCUGACAACGACAGAAGCACAUCCAUGCAGAACAACUCGAUGAAUUGUGGAGGAAGACAUGCAUAUGAGCAGUGGCGGAUGCAGGAUUUUCAAAUUGGGUGUACAUGGUGAACAGAGCAACUACGCCAUAGAAAAAUUUAAUGGCAUUCCCAUUUUUACGCCUUCAAAAUCAAUUAGGCCCCGUUUGGAACCCUUCAUUUUGAAGGAAUUGGAAUCUAUUUAAUGGAGUAGACUAAUUUAUCUUGGAAUGUGGGAUUCCACAACUUUUCAAAGUUUAGAUAUAAGCCUAUGUUAAAUUCAUAGGGUGGGAGAUGGAAAUUGAUUCUAUAGAUUAUGAUUAUUAGAAUGGAAUUUAAUUCUUAUAGCACGCUCUUCGACUCGCUUCCAUGUAGCAGAAAUGCAGCACAUAAGUAUCUCUCAUAUGACCAACAAUAAUAUACAAAUAUAUUUCACAUACAAUUAUAUUAGCUUAAUUAAUUUAUUUUUAAAUUAUGAUUAUUAGAAUGGAAUUCAAUUCCACCAAUCCAAACGGGACCUUAUAGGAAAAUUGACGACGACCUUUAAUUUAGCUCUAGCAGUACUUCCACUGCAGGAGUACUUCAGCCAUGUUUGAAAACUGUGAAUUUCGCAGGAGUUCUCUAGAAGGUCGCAGGUGUGCCAGGAGUAUAGGAAUACUGGAGAGAGUGAAUUAGUUUCUACAGAAAACGUCAGCCAUUCAUUCACGUGGUGAAAAACGUACUUUCUGAAUGCGUGCUUGCACCUUUUUUUUGUCCACUGGAGAAAAUUUAGCGCAUCAGUACUGGGUGAAGACCGACUGAAAACAAAAUUCAUGUGUUCGAAUAACACUGUUCUUAACUUUUCCAAUUUUACUGAUAGUGGAACUCCCUAACCGUAGUUCUCUGUACGGAUUGUAACUGCAACCUGCAAUCUUCAUUCAUGGAAGUCGAGACAGAAUUUAAUGCCUGCCAUGAAACAUUCAGGCAAAUCUAUACGAUCCUACCGGACUAAUUCCGGCGGCGGCGCAAACUGAGGCCCACAGGUCAGUGACCUCCCGGGAGGCGGCUCCCUCCGGCCAAACCAUAGUAUUUAGUACGGAGUGAUUAGCAAACAGGGCAAGGGCAAUCGUGCCGCCGGGAGAGUGGAGACGCACCUGGCACGUCGAGGCGGGUGAGGAAGAGGCGGCGCCACGAGCCGAGGUCGUAGGCGGCCAGCGCGGCGUACCCGAGCCGCGGCAGGCGGUCGGCGUAGACCAGGAGCAGGCGGCGCCGGGGCGCGUCGACGGCGAGCCCCAGCGCGACCCUCCCGGCCGCGUCGGGGUCCGCCAGGACCACCCGCUCCUCCGCCACCCCGCCGCCGCGCACCUCCGUGACGCCGGCGCCGAAGAAGGUGGACACCAGGAACCGGCCGCCUUCGGCGUCCCACUUGGCGCACUCGUGCAGCCACCCCUCGCCCGCGUAGUAGACCCCGCCGGCCGUGCCCUCCAGGAACGCGACCGCCGCGGCGGCCGCCAGGGCCAGGGCGGCGAGCGCGGGCCCGCAGAACCCCCGACGACCUCCUCCUCCUCCGGCGGGACUCCCGUCGGGGUCGCUUUGACGGCGGCAGCACCCACCGCACAUGGCGAGAUGCGGAGCGGAGGGCGGAGGCUCUGGAGACGACCCGGCCAGUGGUGCCCGGUGCGUGCGAGAGGCAGGGAGGAGGAGGAGGUUUCUGCUUCGUUUGUUUUGACCAAAUGGUUCGGAUUACGGCCUUACGGGGAAGGGAUCGAGUCAUCGAUACGCUUUGUUUAGUGUAUGGAGCAAUGUGCCACCCCAUUCCAAUUUUUUUAAGGAUAAAGCAUUUUAAAUUUAACCAAAUUUUAUUGUACAAAUAUAUAAUAUGAUACCAAAUAAGUAUUAUUAGAUUCUUUAUUAAAUAUAUAAUUCAUAGUAUAUUUAGUCGGUGCUAUAAAUUUUUUAAUUCUCUUCAAAUAAAUUGAAAUGACAUGCAAUUAGGAUCGGAGGGAGUAAUAUAAAAUAUAAAGCGAGCGGUUUAGGUGUGGUUUUGGUGGGUAUUUGGCGAGCGGCACGCGGGCGUGGCCUGGGAACGGAAUCUUUUGGGUUUGUCACUAUUAGCGCGGCCGGCAACUGUUUCGUCGAUCUGUGAGAUUCAAUUCAAGGCGGGGCUUGGCGGCUUUUGUGCGCGAUAGUUUUGGAUGGCAUCGUCAUGUCUCAUGUGAUGUGAGCCGGGGAGCACGUGAGCGUGGGAAGUGGACAGUGGUGGAGGGUGGUGGCGCGGCGGCUGGGAGCCUGGGAGUGGCAGAAAGCAUGUGAAAUCAUAGGACUGACACGUCUUUAACGCUAACGUGCUGCGUGAUUGUGCAUUUCUGUUCUGUCUGGCGGGGUCGGGACCGACGCUCGUCGUGGAAUGUGCAUAAAAAGGAGAAUGGAAAAAGAGGACGUGGCCCCGGCCAGUGGCAGAAGGAAUAAAGCCCAGCUUUGUUCUUGUGGUCUCAGCAUUGGCCCAGUGACGGCUCCAUGGCACAAAUCUACACCUAAUGGCGAGCUACGAUUACUAAGCUCUAUGAAAACGCAAACAUACACGAAAAAAAAGGGGCGAUUUAUGUGGCCCAACAUGUAACCCACAACUAUAUUUUUAAUGUACGUGGUAUCAUCAUCACCAUCAUCAUCAACUCCUUUAAAUAUGUGGUUGGCGUAUCGUCAAAUCAUGGAGCGAAAUAAGACAUGGAUGCAUCGAUUAAAAGAUGUACAGAAAAAUUAGCCAAUCAAGUGCUUUAAGUGGCUGAAUGGAUUUGGGAGUUAGGCAUUUGGAAAGAAUUCUAGAAACAUCUUUGAUAUCCAUGUAGUAAACAUGGGGACUCGGAUGCUAGCUAAUGUUGAAGUGCACUCUAGGAGUUGGCUGCCCGUCAUGUUUAUUAGUUUAUUAAUCCUCCAAAUUUUGUCCCUGUACUGACGAACCUUGAUAUGGAAUAGAAACUCCUUCCUCUCAAAGAAAACAUAUUGUUUUCCAGGAACAAUCAAAGGUCUCAUUUUAUCAAUUGAAGUGAUUUUUUUAAUCGUGCAUGUUUAAAGUAUUCCGGCCAAGUUGAACUAGCCUAAUGCGGAGGCGGCUUUGGCCGUCAUGUUUAGUUUACUAAUCCUCCAAAACUUAUUCCUGCACUGAUGAACGUUGAUAUGGAAUAGAAACUCCUUCCUCUAAAAGAUGUCAUUUUAUCAAUUGAAGUGAUUUUUUUAUCAUGUACACCCUCCGUUCCAAGUUGUAGGUCGUUUUAGCUUUUUUUAGUUCAUAGAUAUUAUUAUGCAUCUAGACAUAGUGUAUGUCUAGGUACAUAAUAAUAUUUAUAAAUUUAGAAAAGUCAAAACUUAGGUGCAUAAUAAUAUCUGGAUAUAAUGUAUGUUAUAGUAUGUUUUCCGACCAAGUUGAACUAGCCUGAUGGCUGCCUCGAGCCCAAGCAGUUUUUUAUUGUCUAAGAGAGGAAAUUUUAGUUGUAAGGAUGUUCGUAGAUAGAUCUAGUUGGUACUCCCUCCAUUCCAAAUUAUAAGUCAUUCCAACUUUCUUGAAGAGUCAAAGCAUCUUAAGUUUGACAAAAAUUAUAUAAUAAAGUACUAGCAUUCAUAAUACCAAAUAAGUAUCAUUAGUUUCUUCAUUAAAUAUAUUUUCCUAGUAUAUCUAUUUGGUGCCGUAAAUCUUUGUAAUCCUCUCUAUAAUUUAGGUCAAAUAUAAAAUAAUUUGACUCUUCAGAGAAAGUUGGAAUGACUUAUAAUUUGGAAUUGGAAUGGUUCUUGAACCGCGACAAAACUUAACAGUAGAUGCAGGUAGGCGUGCAAGUGGGUCAGUAUUGGGUCAACCAGUGUCCAACCCACUCAACCCAAUAUGAAAAGUCGUAAGUAAUGGGUUGAUCCAAAACUAAGCACGAGAUUACCCAAAAACCAGUGGGUUACCAAAAAAACAUUGUUUAACUAUGCAGCAGCACGAAGAAAUCGAUCGCCAGGCGCGUCAUCUCAGGCCAUGAGUGCAGCGUCCACGCCGUGGCUCACCACCUGCCUGUAAGAUGGUCCAAUCCUCACAGCGCUGCCGUCACCGCCGCGCAUCGUCGUCGAUGCCCUCGAGCGAGAUCACCGGCGUCUCUUCACUGAAGCUGUUGUGCAGCACCUUGGGCCAUUCAUCUUCCUCGCUGUGCAUCACGCGCGAGUCUGAAGCUCCAUUCCUAUUAGCUGCUCUCCAUCUCCACUACUAGGUCCACUACUGCAUCUGCAUGACCAUCGAUGUCCAUGGCAAUCACAAGGGGUUGUUAGGGGUUGUUUGGUAAUAGGGUGUUAAAAUUUAACACCCGUCACAUCGGAUGUUUGGAUGCUAAUUAGAAGUAUUAAAUAUAGCCUAAUUACAAAACUAAUUGCACAGAUGAAGUGUAAUUCACGAGACAAAUCUAUUAAGCCUAAUUAGUCUAUGAUUUGACAAUGUGGUGCUACAGUAACCAUUUGCUAAUGAUGGAUUAAUUAGGCUUAAUAGAUUCGUCUCGCGAAUUAGCAUAGGGUUCUGCAAUUAGUUUUAUAAUUAGCUCAUGUUUAGUUCUCCUAAUUAGCAUCCGAACAUCCGAUGUGACACUAUUAAAGUUUAGCACCUCAUAUCCAAAUACCCCCGAAAUCGAGGUCCCUGAUGCCCGAAUCGGUGAUGACCUCCCAGAUCUUUUGAACCUAGUGCACCGUAUUCUCCUCUUUCCCUGCGCCUUAAGCACCAUCACCCACACAGUAGAACCACCGGUAUCCGUGCCCGGGCACGGCUCCGAUCGCAACAGGUCUGGCGACUGAAACGGAUCCGAAUUCCUAUUUCUGAGAAUCCAAACCUACGCACCUCCAUGAUAGUCCUAGGAAGGCUAUCACGUGUGAAUCCCUAUCUCAGAUAGUACAAAUCCAUACUAACAUAAAAAAUAAAAAGUGGUAACAGGGUAAUAAUAUCAUAAAUAUUGAGUAUAUCACCUCGGCACAUGCAGGCACAAGUCCAUCAGGACUGAAUCAUAAAAGAUAAAAUACCUACGUAGCGGAAACAUGAGUUAUAGCGAGCACCAUCUCCGGAGGCAACUUGAGCGAGGGACCAUCCCUAAUCUUCCCAUCCAUCAUUGUCGAAGUCGUAGUCGGGCUCCGACCCUGAAAAGCUACCAUCUACUCGAGAAGCGGGCAGGCCAUGUCAACUCCCAAUAGCAGCAAGCCAAGGAAACCGGGGAAUAAUAUACUAUAUGCAUGAGCAAACCUAUAUAUGGUUGUAGAAGUUUAUGCAGCAGCAACAACAACAAUCAAGGAUGCAUCAAAGUAAUACCAUCUCCGAGGUCAACACUUCAUAUCAAGGAAUCAAGGAAGUCGUCACAAAUCACUAGAUCCUUCACCCAAGAAUCAAGCACCCAAACACUCUAGGCGAUGUGAGAGCUCCCUCCCCUGACAUCUCAACGACAAAUGCCGGCCUAUCUCAAAAAAGGGAGGUAGAAGAAUAGUAUAAGUCUAGUCAGAAGUAGCAGUAGUCAACAGCACUAUCCAUAACCAAUGGACACGGACUAUAGUUAUAGGUUUAUACACUAUGCAGAGGUUGUACAUCUAUACCCGCACGGCUGGAGCCUGAACGGGGAUCAGCCGUCCAAACCCCACCUAACAAUCGGAGCCCUAGUAGGUGGCUAGCAGUCUCCUGUUUCCUCGAGUUUGGAACCGUCCUCAACUGCAAGGCACGCCGUCACCAGUUGAAGACCUCAAAGUUAUGAAACCUACCCAUGUCGGGGUGCAGUCUGGUCGGAGCAGGUCAACGCCUUGAACUCCUUACACUGAUCCUCCAAUCCACCUACAAGCUGAGCACUAUCCACCACUAGUCUCGAACCGAACCCUGUCCAUAACAAAGCGAAAGGUAUGUACGUAAAUAGAUACUGUGACUGGUGGUAAACUGACUCGAUCGUUAGGGACCGAGAGCGAGCACUCAACUCCACAAAGUAUGUGCCGAAGCACCUGAAACGUACAAGUACGCCACCUGCUCUUCAGUGUCAAACAAGGUACCCGCCACAGGCACAGGGGGUGGAAAGAGUCCAGAAUGCUCUUCCCUAGCAAGGCACUCCUUAGUACUAACCGCGGCUCGAUCCCACCAAAACACGCCAAGGGAUCACAAUCACUCAGAAAACACGCGAGAGUGUACAAGGAAUCCCAUCACCAAAACCAUGGCAUAUGCCCAUCCUAACUCAAAAGUAUAUAUAUGGAUAUAAGUAAGUUGGACUAGCUAUGCGUCUAUAGCUAGUCCACAAGUCCUGUGUUGACACCGAAUCAUCAAACUUCUAUAAUUUCGGAACAUGAAGCCUUCGUACUUCGAAACUGGGGGGCCUGUGUUGAUACCAGAUUUUAAUCGAAUCCCUUAAUACAGAAUAUGAGGUCAUUGGUGUCAUAUGCGACUAGUCUCUGUAUGCGUAUAUAUAUUGGAAGGUACUAAUCAAUAUGUGAGUUGAUCAAGGAAAAAUCUGGUACGUACAUGCAAGUUGGCUGAAACAAGCAAUGCAUAUUAGAGGCUCACGUGUGGAAGAAAGAAGGAGCAAGGACCUGAUGGAAGUAUGAAAAAGGAAGCUUAAUUAAUUAGGACUUUACGUAAGGAAAGUUAGAGUCCGUGUAUCUUAAUAUUUCUUUUUGUUUAGAUAUUUCGUAUCAGGUAGUUUUGAUACGGUUCCUUCUAGGAGUUGUUAGUUCAGAGUAUAAAUAUGUACCUCCGGUCAUUGUAAAAUCAUCACACAAUCAAUAAACAAACAUAUUUACCUUUACCUUUCGACUUCACGCCAUUGCCCUAGGAGUAGGAUUAAUGUAGCUUCUCGACGAGUUCCUUCUAGCAAGCUGGGCUCCAUCGACCUCGAUCUCCGGCAAGCUGCAAGUUCCCGUCAUCAGGUGUACUAGACUUCAACUUUCGGGCGCAUCGCUGUCAUUGGGUCUGGUUUCAUCUACCAGUUAUCAAGUAUCUUGGAUCUUUGACUUACGACACAUCGCUUCUGUCUCGAUCUACGGUAUUCACCAGUUAUCCCACCUUGAUUAAACUUGCAUCGGUUGAUAUUUAUCUGUUCUAUCGUCUUGCUGUUUACGACAUAUUAAUUGUUAUUAAUUAUGUCGGAAUAGACGAUAGAUCUGUUUUGAAUAGCCCGUUGCAUCUUAAUCUUAGUUACCCUCGAGUGCCGAAUUGAGUUUCAUUAUGAUUAGAUUCAUCGGUUGGCAGGGUUUAGACUGACGUCCUGCUAUGUGUUUCUAGGAUGCAACUACCAGGCACAUCGUUGUGGUUUCGCCUAGAAAUAUUGGUGGUGACGUUAGUUUAGAUCCCAUCGGCUUGUGGCUCUGGCUAUGAUGGAGCAAGAACUCGACGGUGCUCUGUCUCCUAUCGGCUCUCUAGCUGAUGGUUAUCACAUCAAGGAUCAUAUCGGCCCGAUCGACCGACUCCAUCGAACUUCGAGAGAAUUAUCUCCACCUUGUCAGUUGAAUGGUCAAACUGACUGGCACGCCCGCGCACACCACGCGCGCCGAUUUGGAUUUUGCACUGGAGUUAAGCAGAUCUCCCAGGUCCUCAUGUGGUGAUGCAGGGUCCACCACCGUCAGGAUUUUGCGUCAACACAAGGAAAACAAGAUAAUCAAUUAUCAAGGUAUGGCUAGAAACACAGGCUAUGCAAUCAAUCAUCAUCCAGGCAUCAUAAACAAAGCGUCAGCAACUACGUAUGCAUAGGAUCUAUAAGAUUGGGAGUGACAUAACACCUUGUUCGUCAUUGUUGAAGUCCUCUCCGGUGAAGUCAGGGUCCUGGGAGUCCUCAGGGUCGUAGCUCGGUCUUCAGGAUCCCCCGAAUCCUUUGGUUCCUAGAUGCACAAUUAAAAUAAAUACUGAGGAUCUAUUUGCAAUUAAACUCCAAAAGAGAAGCAAUAAAGAUCCAAAUAACUCCAAAAGCUAGUCUAACGGGUGCUCCAUGAUUUUAGAUAAUUAACAAAACUGAUUUCAUAUUUUUCUAAGCUAGGGUUAAUUCGUUAGAUAUUUUUAGAUUCCGAAACACCUUAUGAAUUUAGUUAAUUUCGAAAAGGCACAAAAGACACAAGUCCACUUGUAUGAGGGCCACAUGUUAGCUUUUGGUUGGUCCACCUAUGGUUGCUAACGGUAGCAGUGAGUCCUGCUAGAGUCAGCAUUGACUAGUCAACGGUCACUGCUGACCAAGUCAGAGGGCAAAGUCAAAGUUCAGCUGGACCCCACGAGUCAUCAUGUGGGCCUGUAUGUUAGUUGGUACUAGGUUAGGCAGUCAGCGGUUUCUCAUACCAAUGGGUCCCAACGUUUAGUCCGUGGGUCCCUUUGGUCAGCGGGAGAAGCCGGGCAGGCGCGGAUCUGCUCUAGGCGGUGCAACAAAGCGUUGGUGAGGGUCUUGGCACAAGGCUUGGCAGCAAGCAAGAAGGAUUAAGGCUCAUGGUUACAUGUACAUGGCUUAGGUGAUCACACUCCAGCUGCAUCUCCCAUGGUCACAAGCUUGCACUACGGGUUGAGUGCAACUCCCAGGGUUGCUAGCAGAGUGCUCGAUCAAAUGCCACAAGGGCAUCUGUCUCACGGUUGCACACGGCACAGCGGUGGUUCUAGGCUUGGGCGCAUGCUAGGUGUUCGUGCGUGACGCGUAGGCAGCGGCCGUGGAAGGGCUGGGCUUGUCUUCGUUGUCGUGGCGCCAGCGAGCACGAUGAGCACGCACACGCAGGCUGAGCAACGGCGGUUGGUGCAGGACAGCCAGUAGGACGCGGAACAUCAAUGGCUUGAACCCGCGGUGAGGUCGAACGCUGGGCACAAGCAGCAUGCAACGCACAGGCAAGCAAGGCUAAGGGUCAUGGUGGAGUUAGAACACCCAUGGCCUACGUGAGCACAAGCAAGCAGAUAAGGCCACAGCUUGCAAGGUUUUGGCCUGAACACCAACGAGCUCUACAGGUUUGAGCAGGGCACACUGCAAGCUAGCACGCAGGUGGAUCACUAGAGCACGGACAUGGCGUGGCAAAAGGCUAAAAGUUAGUUAGCUGGUACCUCGCUUACUGUUCGUAUGGAUGUGGUCCGAACAUAAGCUAGCACUACGGGUUUGUGCAGGUUCAGCUAGGACUUCAUGUUCGCAGGCAGGAAGCAAGGUGUCAGCAAGGGUUGGCUGGGUUCUCGGCUCAAGGCAGCGGCAACAACAAGAUGGCCAACGACGAACUGCAGGAACGCGGGGCCUCGGCAAAACUAGGUCCGCGGCAAGGCGAUGGCUGGGCGGCGUGUCGGCAUGCGCGGAGUCACGAGCAAGGCGAAGCAGUUCGGCUGGCCAAGGGGUGUGCACGUGCGUGGCAACGUGGUGUCCCACGGCCGCGACGUGCCUGUAGCAUGCGCGCGGGCGUUCGGCUACGCGAGUCCGCGGCGGCGCACAGCUGCUAGAGCUCAGCGGCAACGAAGGGAAGCGGCACCUGCAGAAGAAGGCGCGCGGCUUGAAGGCCGGCUCACAAGCGACGGCGGGGCUGCGGCAUAGCGGCACGGUUCCUCGGCACGAAGGCCGGACACAGAGAAAAGGCGGGGGCUUGGCUCACCUAGGGGCUUGACGGGGCCGGUCAGGUAUUUCGUCGAACACGUGUUGAAGGCGAGGUGGAUGGCAGCCGUGUUGUGGUAGAAGAAAGGCAGCAGCUUGGAUGGAUGGCUCACUGAUGGGCUCGUGGGGGUUCGAGGCGAUGCAGGGAGGCGUGGGGGCCGUGGCGAGGUGAGGCAGGGCCGGCUCGAUGCAGGGGCAGCAGACCGGUGUCGCGGCGAGCUCGCGGUUCCCCUGGCUCGGCAGCGACGCGCUCCUCCGUCUCGCGGUUGUCGGCGUCGUCGUCCGCGGCAGCAGCUCCGGUCCGGCGUCGGCGCGGUCGGCGUCGUUCCCAGCGGCGCCCUCAGCUCGGCGGCCGCGGCGUCAUCCUCCUUCUCCGGCUCCAUCUCUCCUCUGCUCCUUCCCUCUUCUUCUUUCUUGACAGCGCUGCAGCGCGUGGUGGUGGAAGGUGGAUGGGGCAAGCCCCUGGCGGCGCAAGGGGAGGAGAAGGGUGAGGCGCCUGGGGGUCUUUAUAGGCCGGAGGCUAGGGUUCGCAAGGGAGCAGCAAGGCACGGACGACCGGCGAUUCUCGGCGUCCGCGCCAGGACGUGUGGCUCGCAUCCGCGCGGUGGCGUGGGGUGCACGCGGCCUGGAGAGGCGGGUAGGGGAGGCGCGCGUGAGCUAGGCUCGCAGGGUUGGGCGCAUGUGCGGGCAGCUGCAGAGCAGCGGCGUCCGCGUCCUGUCGGCCAUGUUUAGUUUCCUUCCGACUUCCAACUUUAACACUAUGCAAAAAGAAAAUUCCUCAUCACAUCAAACUUGCGGUACAUACAUGGAGUACUAAAUGUAGACGAAAUAAAAAACUAAUUGCACAGUUUUGUUGUACUUUGCGAGAUGAAUCUUUUGAGUCUAAUUAGUCAAUAUUUGGACAAUAAUUCACAAAUACAAACGAAACGCUACAGUUGUGCAUUUAUGGCAAAAUGUCAAUUUUGCCACUCCUAAAUUAGGAACUAAACAAGGCUGAAAAAAAAGAGAGCACAGAGAGAUGAACAGCGGCGGCAUGCAUCGGCGGUGGCAGGCCAGGCUGCUCUUUUUGUUGGUCUGGUUCGGAGCUAAGGUAAAAGGGCCGGCCUGUUAGAGUUUAAGCUAGAUAGCAGGCUGUGUUAGAGGUUAGAGAUACGGUGGUUAGCUAGUUUAGGCCUACGUUGGGUAGGGUGAUUAGUAUAGUUAGCUUUUGAUUUAUACUUGAAAUUAGAUUUCAAAUAUAAACCACACUCAAAGAUUCAAGAAAAAUCCAAUUAAAAUCCAACUCACACAUGCAGACAUGAUUUCAAUUUUAAAAUGCACAAUUUCAUUUACUAUUUUUUGAAUUUAGAGAUAAGAAACGAGGGUUGACCUUAAGUUUGACACAAGCGAUCAAAAAGUUAUAAAAUUUUGUAAAAACUAGCACAAUUAAUAUCACUCAAUUUUUAGCCACUGACCCGUAGAACGAAUCCCUGCAGCUCCCCUGCCACUCAUCUGGCUGACAUGCGCUCGCCGCAGGUGACCAAACAGGGGCCACCAUAGCCGGCUACUCUACUGACUACUCUGGUCCGUGCGGAUGAUCGGCAGGCCCCACAAGUGGAUUGGCUCGAUGGCGUGAUGCUGAGCGAGUACAGAGCAGCAACAGUAUAGAUUGUUUUUGGGUUAAUGAGUUACCCGGAAGAACCUAAAGUGAACCAAAAAAAUUAUUGGUCACUGUUUUUCAUUUUUUGGGUAUUGGGUAGUUGGGUCAACCCAACAAAACCUGCAUCCCUAGAUGCAGGUCGAGAUAUGAUAUGGUGUUGUUCAUUUUAAUUUUCAUUAUAAUAAGGCUAUUGAUAAGUAAUCUGUCCUGCAAUUUGUUAUAAUCUUUCCGAGAACGUGCCUGAGCACAUGUUGUAAUUUGUUGUAAACCAGGGGCUUGAUAAUUAACAAAUCAAAGAAUUCUGCCAUUUUUUCAACGUAUUUGACAUGUGUCAAAGCAAUAUACACCCCCCCCCCCCCCCCCAUUUCAUAUGACCAGGGCGUAGUUUGAUUAUGCCAAAACAGCAUUCUGCAAAUUAGUAAUAACAAAUCGUGCGUGGAAGUUUCCUUCGGAAAAAGACCAAAAUGUGCUUGAUAGUUGAUAGUCAUUUAUAUGCAUAUUAGCACAAAUUCCAAAGCAAACGUUUCGCAAGGCCUACCGCAGCAUUUCGUUUCAUAGAAAGGACUACCCAAGCAUUUAUCAGAAGUCCAUAUAUUAGUGAGAGCCUCAACAACCAUGCAAAAUGUAGAUGCAUCAGCACAAUUGUACCAACAAACUAUUUCCGUUUAGGGAAGAAAACCUUUUAUUAUCGAUGGCACACUUACAAACACAUCGUAUUCCCUGGUGUCCACAUUAUCCUCAUCGAUGCCUUUUCACAUCGGAUACGCAAGUACUGGCAUACAUCGCAUAGGAAAAACACACUCCCACAACGCAUGACGUACGUAGGAAAUAAGAAGAAGAAGUACACGCACGGACGAUAGCACGAUAGCACGAAAUUUAAAGUGAUCAAAUAGCGACUAGCGAGUUGUUAUUACCGCGCACAGCUCCUCGUUGCGCCACAUCAAAUGGACAGCUCCUUCGCCGCCAUCUCCUCCCUCUUCUGGAGCGCGCUCGCCUCCACCUUGCAGCACUUGCACGGCGGGCUCACGAUCGGCACCGCGCCGCGCGCGUUCGCGUGCUGCCCAUUCUGGAGCCCGUUCCCGUGGGCGCCCAUCUUGCGCGCGAUGAUGACGGAGUUGAUCACCUCGUCGUCCGGGUGGUACACGGCCCGCACGUCGAACCCGCCACGGCAGAUGUCCUCGGGGUCGACGACGGGGUACAGGAACCCGCGCGCCCCGUGCGCGCUCCGCACGACGAGGGCCGCGCCGUCGGCCAUGUGCCUGCCGAGGUGCGCCACCACCUUGGCCUUGUCCUCGGCGGCCAUGCCGACGAGCGCGGCCAGGAAGACGACGUCGUACUUGCCGAGCUCGUCGGUCAGGUUGGCGACGUCGACCGUGUGGAAGGUCAUCCGCUUGCGCAGGUCCUCGUCCGCGCGGACCAGCUUCCGCGCACGGUCGUUGGCAGCGCCGCUCCGAUCAUAGUUGUCGAACACCGUGUUGGGCAGGUGGCGUGCCGCGAGCACGAGCGAGCUGAACGGCAAGGGGCCAGACCCGACGAAGGCGACGCGGGAAGGCGCGAGGCCAGGGAUGUAGCGGACCAGGAGGUCGUACUCCAGCUUGCUCAGGUUGAUGUAGUUGCUGAAGUAGGGGAAGCGGCUGAGGUGGUCGAGUGGGUUGUCGAAGGCGUUGAGCAUGUCGGAGUAGUGCGCCUCGAGGUGGCCCUCGGCGUCGGAGCAGAGGCGGAUGAGCUCCUCUCUCAUCUUCUGCGCGUCCGGGGCAAGCUUGGUCACGUCGACGGGGUUCGGCGGGACGCAGGCCAUGACGAGCUCGGUGAACAGCCUGUCGACGUCGGGGGACGGGCUCAGCGAUGGCAACUUGGUGAUGGCGGCGUGGAGGCUGGUAAUCUUCUGGACGAGAGCAGCAACCUCCAUGUUCGCAUUGGCGUCGAUCUUGCGCGCGACGAUCACAGAGUUGAUCACCUCAUCGUCCGGGUGGUACACGGUCAGCACGUCGAACCCGCCGCGGCGAAUGUCCUCGGGAUCGACGAUGGGGUACAGGAACCCACGAGCCCCGUGCGCGCUCCGCACGACGAGGGCCGCGCCAUCGGCCAUGUGCCUGCCGAGGUGCGCCACCACCUUGGCCUUGUCCUCGGCGGCCAUGCCGACGAGCGCGGCCAGGAAGACGACGUCGUACUUGCCGAGCUCGUCGGUCAGGUUGGCGACGUCGACGGUGUGGAAGGUCAUCCGCUUGCGCAGGUCCUCGUCCGCGCGGACCAGCUUCCGCGCACGGUCGUUGGCAGCGCCGCUCCGAUCAUAGUUGUCGAACACCGUGUUGGGCAGGUGGCGCGCCGCGAGCACGAGCGAGCUGAACGGCAAGGGGCCAGACCCGACGAAGGCGACGCGGGAAGGCGCGAGGCCAGGGAUGUAGCGGACCAGGAGGUCGUACUCCAGCUUGCUCAGGUUGAUGUAGUUGCUGAAGUAGGGGAAGCGGCUGAGGUGGUCGAGUGGGUUGUCGAAGGCGUUGAGCAUGUCGGAGUAGUGCGCCUCGAGGUGGCCCUCGGCGUCGGAGCAGAGGCGGAUGAGCUCCUCUCUCAUCUUCUGCGCGUCCGGGGCAAGCUUGGUCACGUCGACGGGGCUCGGCGGGACGCAGGCCAUGACGAGCUCGGUGAACAGCCUGUCGACGUCGGGGGACGGGCUCAGCGAUGGCAACUUGGUGAUGGCGGCGUGGAGGCUGGUAAUCUUCUGGACGAGAGCAGCAACCUCCAUGUUCGCAUUGGCGUCGAUCUUGCGCGCGACGAUCACAGAGUUGAUCACCUCAUCGUCCGGGUGGUACACGGUCAGCACGUCGAACCCGCCGCGGCGGAUGUCCUCGGGAUCGACGAUGGGGUACAGGAAUCCACGAGCCCCGUGCGCGCUCCGCACGACGAGGGCCGCGCCAUCGGCCAUGUGCCUGCCGAGGUGCGCCACCACCUUGGCCUUGUCCUCGGCGGCCAUGCCGACGAGCGCGGCCAGGAAGACGACGUCGUACUUGCCGAGCUCGUCGGUCAGGUUGGCGACGUCGACCGUGUGGAAGGCCAUCCGCUUGCGCAGGUCCUCGUCCGCGCGGACCAGCUUCCGCGCACGGUCGUUGGCAGCGCCGCUCCGAUCAUAGUUGUCGAACACCGUGUUGGGCAGGUGGCGCGCCGCGAGCACGAGCGAGCUGAACGGCAAGGGGCCGGACCCGACGAAGGCGACGCGGGAAGGCGCGAGGCCAGGGAUGUAGCGGACCAGGAGGUCGUACUCCAGCUUGCUCAGGUUGAUGUAGUUGCUGAAGUAGGGGAAGCGGCCGAGGUGGUCGAGCGGGUUGUCGAAGGCGUUGAGCAUGUCGGAGUAGUGCGCCUCGAGGUGGCCCUCGGCGUCGGAGCAGAGGCGGAUGAGCUCCUCCCGCAUCCUCUGGGCCUCGGGAUCAAGCUUGGUCACGUCGACGGGGCUCGGCGGGACGCAGGCCAUGACGAGGUCGGUGAAGAGCGCGUCGACUUGGGGUGAUGGGCUCAGGGACGGCAGCUUGGCGAUGGCGGCGUGGAGGCCGGCGAUCUUGUGCACCAGGGCAGCAACCUCCACGUUUUGGGCCUCCAUGUCAGCGGUAGUCGCUAAAAUUGCAGCUGAGAAGCUGAGCGAAGAGACGCCGCGGCUGAGGAUGUGUGUUGAGCUCAAAAGCGGCAAGUGCUCGACUGCUCGUGUGCUCCUUGAUGAGGAAUGGAACGGGUACCACGAGUGUAUAUAUAGAACGACACGGCAGUUGCUGCGGCACAAAAAGUGUUGGCAACUCCGGCUGACGUGCUAGCUUUGAAAUUAUAAUUUAGAAAUAGUGGAGGCGUGUGGUGGUCGAUCGGUACUUGGAAAAAAUAUUGCGAGAUUUACAAGAAAAACAAAAUGAGCCAUCCGUUUACAUGCUUGGAAAAGUCGAAGCUCCAACACCCGGCGCGCUUCACGCUUCCACGGCCAAUGGCCGGUUUCAUGCCUGUGCUAUGAGUAGCACGUACCCGGUGGGAAACCUGCCCGGGUUUUCAACGCGCCCACAUCACGCCAUGCAAGUGGUGGCAGCGCUUUGUUUGUUUCUUGCCAAAGUGGGUCGUUUAACCCGUCAACAUCAUAUUAAGCCAGGGAAAACACGAAUCGUACUUACUCUACGCCCCAGAUUAAAUCAAUUUGUAAGAAAAUUUGGACAGUUUACUCUCAAAAGGGUGUUUUUGACGUUUGAGUGACGGGAGCUAGCUUAAUGCGUUAUUAAUAGAUCAAUGCACACCAUUAAAUCAUUAAAACAUCACAGGAUUCAAUGAAUGGAUCACCGUUGCGUGAAACUAAUAGAGUGGUUGAGGGAUGAAAUCAAUUUGCUUUGAGACAACAGUUUCGACUAGGAAUUGGUUUCUAUCGGGGAGGAAGUAGAAACUAGAAAGCGCAGUAAUCUGCGCUCUGCAGUUGCACCAAAGAGUCUUCCAGCGACACUCCAGGUUAUCAAACCACUGUUUAACUUGCGAACUGAGUGUAAUUCAAUUGGUAAGAUUUCUUAUGAUGGAAUUAACUUACUUGGAUUUGAGUUCUCAACUUGACAUAAGUACUCGUAUUUUUGUAGAUUUAUUUCAAGAUCUAGCUGGUGUUAUUAUUUCAGUGAUAACAAAAUGUGUGUGGUUUAGCUCAAUCUCUCGAAAAUGCUCAUAGGGAUAGGAUUGUAUGAACAUAUUCAUAGGAAUGAGUUUUCAAAAAUGCUCAUAUGAGUAGGAUUGUAUGAGCAUAUUCACAAGAAUGAGUGUGCUUGCGUGUGCAUACCUGUACUGUGUUUCGGGAGAGAAAGAAGUCACUAUUUAACUUGUGUUGCGGGAGGAACUAAGAACUGCGUGGGAACGUUAUUGCAAACUCUAUUGUCUUCUAACCCCCUUCGCUAAUCUGAAUCUUUCAAAUUGGGAAAUCUUAGUUAAACAGCUGCAGUUAGGCUUGGUUACCAGUGGAUGACGAUCCAACCAUUGUCUUCCACCUCCCACUCGUCUUUUCUCUUGUCGUUACCUUCUCUGAUUCUCCCCAUGUGCUGCGUGAUCCAGGACCCCAUCCCGCGUUCCUCAGCCGCUGAGUGCCACCAGAUCCGCAGUUCCGCACAAGCAGCUCGCUGCCUAAGCCUUAGACCUACUACCUCCAUAUAAAAAUAUUUUUUGAAAAAAUUAUGUAAGUAUCAUUUAUUUUAUUUAUAAUUUAUUUUAUCAUCAAAGGUAUUUUAAGCAUGACUUAUCUUCUCGUAUAUUUGUAAUAAAUUUUUGAAUAAGAUGAGUGGUCAAACAUUUUAACGAAAAGUCAAUAGCAACAAAUAUCGAAACAUUGUAAGAAAGAGUCAAUAGCGACAAAUAUCGAUACCGAGGGAGUACGUUACUACUGAAAUGCAACGACGAAUACACUUGAGCCAAAAUUCCGCUUUUGCUUUGGUUGCUGUCAAACAAAAGCAAAUAGCAGUUUCCCGUCGAGUGCAAGAAAUGGGAUCCAAACAAGACUGCAUUCCUGUAGCAUUAAUUGUUAAGAAUUACAGUUCCAUUGCCGUUGGCCUCUACCAAUAGGGUAAAUAUGAUUCCGAAUAUACCCGGGCGCAAUAUCCACCAAUGAUUAUGCCUUUCCUACAUUUUGUAAUUUUUUAGGCACUACAUGUUAGUAACACGAUCAUCUUAUGCAGAAAUCAAUCGAGUAAAAUGUCAAUCAAGCCAUGCCUUGUCGAAGGCAAUGGGCACCACCGCACCAGCUCUGGCACUUUAUUUUCUGUUUGGGCCUGCUGUCCUGAGAUGGUUUCACAACAACUGAAGAAAGUUGAUCUGUAAGAAACCAAAGAUAGUAACAUUGUCAUCUUCUUCGCUUAAGGAUGUGUAUGUAUGUAUGCAUAUUUGAACAAAGUAAGCAAAAAAAUGCAAAAAGUGAAACUACUUUACUGAAACCAUUUGUUCCAAUAUCCUUUGAUAGUACAAAAUAUUUGGCUGCAAGAAACAUGCAUUAGUACUGUGUGAGAUGUAUGGAAAAAAUAUUUUGCACGGUGUGAGACUUAUGACGAAAUAAUUGGCACCUUGCUCCAUGUGUUGACAUAAGAAUAAGUAAGAAGACAAUGAUUAUCUUUUUUUUUCAAUUUAAAGAAUGAGAAUGAGCUUUUAAGCGGGCAUCAUAAAUCCUAAUAUCAGGGGUGCCAAACAACAAAGUGUGUUUAUCUUCAUAAGAAAAGCAACAAUCAAAGAAAAGUUACCACAGAAGCGAUCGUGGUAGAUAUGAGGAUCCCUCAGGGCUCAGAUCUUCACGAGCUGCACUGCCGCCACUGGCUGACAGUGUUUCGUUUUCGCUGUCAGCCGCUGAAUCUGAGUCAGCCUUGCUAGCACUGUUUAUACAGUAGUUCUGCAGCCACCUAUCAGUCUCCCAGAGGACGUGCAUAAUACUCUCCCUUGCAGAGUACCCGUGGCUCUCAAAAGGAAGUAUCACCAAACGAGACAGCGCACCAUGCCCUUUCAAGGCAUUGAAGAAUCGGUCUCACUGUAGCAUAAAAUAGAAAAACAAAUUAGAUAACACUCAACUGUUACCUACACAAUGCAGACUACUAACAUUCAUUAAUUAACCAGUAUAAAAGAAUAAACAGAGUAUUAAAUAAUAGCAGCAUUAAGAUAUUUUCCUAGAAAAGAAAUGCACAAGACAAUCAGAAGCGAAAGUGUUAUUUUAGUUUACUAGUUAAGGCACUGAAACCAAGCAGGCCUAAUUUCACAUAUGCAAAAUGAAAACUGGUAACCUAGAAAAACAAUAAAAAAGUUUUUAGGACUUAGCGACAUUUGCUUUAUAUAUUGGCCUACAUCUACUGAUACAGGUUUUGGUCACUCAUACUACUUCUGCAUGGAAAAUAAUAUUCUUGCUGUUUGCUAAGAUCAACUAUGCCCAUGUUAAAUUUGAAUCAGUGGUAAAACUGCUUGAGAAAACUUCAAAAAUCAUAUAAGGCAGCAAGCAGAUGGACAGUGAAAAAUUGACCUGCAUCGUCAAUGUCCCAGAAUUGUUGUCCUGCUCUCCAUGGAUAAGUAGGAUUGGUUUCUUGAUUUUGUUUGCUGACAUGAAAGGGCUCAUCUCAACAUAGGUGCUUGUUGCCUCCCAGAGUGUCCUAUCCUCGUUCUGCAAAAAACAUACAUGUUAAUAAAGAGACAAUGAAUUAUUCCGCAAAUUGGCAAUAUCCACCAUUUCUCUGUACCUGAAAACCAAAUGGAGUUAAGAGUCCUGUUGUAAGCUCCAGAACGAGCAAUCCCACAGCAGAAAAGAUGCGAAGCAUGAGCUAAGAGAUUAGCUGUCAUGAAUGCACCAUAUGAAUGACCACCAACAGCAAUUUUAUCAGGAUGAGCCACCUAAAGAAAUGCAAAGAAAUACACAUAUAAUGUCAACUCCUGGAAGGCAUCACACAGGAUAGAAGAAUAAUUUAAGUAUAUUUGCAUAAUGGAAUUGCUCCAUGUAUGAAUGAACUUUACAAAGUGAACCAUGAAAAUCAUGCGUAAGUGGAUCCUCUGACUGCCACAAACUCAUUCUGUAAAAUAUAUCACUUAUAUGUACGAAGAGACUGAAAAGGCUUACCCCUCUUUUAACAACUUCCUCAACUGCAGCCUCUGCCCUUGCAACUAGUUGUUCCACGUACCUACAAUUAGUUUGCAAUAUUGAAACAAUAAAUAUACUAUGUUACAAUAUCAUAGUUCAAAAUUCUCUUGUACUGCAGAAGGAAAUGGAACAGACCGUAAGUAGCAAAUAUAUACCUGUCAUUGGCCUCUUCGUCACCUUCACCAAUAAUCGGGAUUGUUGGACCUGACAAAAUAGCAAACCUGCAGACCAAGUGGUGAGUGUGUGUGCAUGUACCAGAAACAAACAUUUGCAAGCUAUUGAAAAAAGAGUGACUUUGAAAAUUUUGAUAGGCUAAGUAAGUGUACAUAUGUUGUAUGAAUAUUCUAUUGUCAUGAAUAGUGAGAAGAGAAAAAUACCCUCUAGCCAACCAAAGAAGAGGGGAUGUGGCACCAAUCCCUGGAAAUUCAUUAGGGGAACAACGGACUUGCCCAGCAGCAUCUUUGCUUUUAAAUUCACCAGGGUAGGACCAAACUAGACAUGGCAAAGGUCCAUCUUUUGAUGGAUCAUAACCUGGGGGCAGAUAUAAGUUUGCUGUAAGUUGGACUCCGUCCUUCCGCUGGUAUCUUAUCAUUUCUUUGUACAAGGAAGCAAGCUGAGGAUAUGGAUGCGGGAAAUUCGGGAUCUUUACUUGCUUGUUUUCUAGCCAGGUCUGCAAGUAAUAUUGUGUGUUCUCUGUUUUCGAUUCUUUUGAUGUAAGUAUCUUUAACUGAUCAAGGGACAGUUCCGCAUCAGUUUUGUCUGACAUCAGUGCAAAAACAGUUUCAUAAUAUUUUUCCUUGUCACUCUCCCAUAUCCGCUCCUUACUUCCAGUAUUUCUGCCAAAGAAGAAGCAAUUGUAAGUGACGUGGCAUAUAUCAGUAUGCUUGGUUGCUGGCUGCUGAAGCAGCGGCUGGGGCUGCUUCAGCAACCACUAGUCAGUGUUGUCAGAUUUAGGCUCGUUGUACAUAUGACCGAUCCUUUUGUAAGAUUACAACCACUAGUGUAGUUAGUGUUGACUGUUGGCUACCUUGAGACUUUUUUAAUUAUAUAUGAAGCACAAUGCAGAUGAUCAUGAUGAGUCUGUUUAUUUAUUGAUAUACACAAUAUAGGACAUGAUGAAACAUAGUAUGUAGCAAGCACUGCAGAGAUUGCUGCUAUCCAUAGCUAUAGCAAGCAAGAUGCUGAUUCUGGUGUUGUUUGUGUUGCAGUUGAAGAACAUGGACGCUACCUAUCUUUGGAGGAGCCUGGAGCAGGGAUCUAGUGCUCCAGUGUUGCUGCUGCUGCUGCACCUGACGCAUUGCAUUGCAUGAUACAUAAGCCAGAUCUGAUGGUCCUGUGAUCCAAGACUGCAGAGAUAUGCAAAGGCUAAGGUCAGACUAGCUUACCUGCAGCGGCUGUGGAUCAGCAGCAGCAGCAGCACCAAGGACCACCACGAGCACGAGGAUGAAGACGAUGACGAAGAAGAGGAUCUGCUGCUGCUGCUUCAAUUCUAUCUGGCUGGCGGCUAUAGGAAGGAAUUAGCAAGGGUUAAGGCAGGGGUGGAGUGGACACACUCCUCUUCCCUUCCUCUCUAUCUAUAUGCAAUAUGCAUAUGCAAUGCAAGCAGAGAAUGGGAGCUGUGAAUUUGGGCAGCAAUGAAUGGGAGCAAACAAUAAAAACAGAGAGGUGGGUGGCAGAUGCAAUGCACUACUGUAGCUAGCAGCGCAAUAUAGCUUCCUUGUAUUUUCCUUUUCGAAAAGUAUGGGUGCAGUGGCAGUAACGAGUUAACAACUGGAGUCAGUGAGCAAGGAGUGAAAAGGACAGACAGCAAUGCAUGGAUGCUUGUGAUGUGAAUUGGAAUCAGCAUUGAACAAGCAGCCCUGCACUGCACUGCACUGCGUCCUAGUAUUCAGUAUCAGAGAUGGAUUGCCAGCCAGUGCAGCCACCAUCACCUGCUAACUGAGCAGAGCAUUCCAGUCAGUAGCAAAGCAUUCCACCGUGCAUCAAGAAUUAGACAAGGACACAAAAGAGCUAGCCAUGCAAAUCCCGAAUUAAGUUCAGCAAUUCCAUAACAAAUGAUAAACAGCCACUCACUGCAUAGUACCAAUGGCGGCAACGACUGACCAACAGAGUGAGACACACUACACAAUCAACAAGUUACUCUAAGCAAGCAGAACGGAGACCAACAUCUCGUUCCAAAUCCCAUCAUCAGGUAAACAAAACAAACGCUGCUGCUGCUGCUGCCGACAUCUAAAUCACAAACGCUACUUCAUCAACAGCUAGGCCUAAUCACAAACGCUACUUCAUCAACAGCUAGGACUAGGCCUCAUCUGCAUAGGCCGGCUCCAGGAUGGCCGCCUCCGCCUCCUGCACCUCCUUCUCUGUCUUCCGCCCCUUCUUCGACUUGUAGUACACGCUCAUGAACGUCCCCACCGCUCCAUACUUGCGCCGGCAGUGCUCGUAGUGGGACGCGUCGAACAUCCUCCAGAAGUCCUUCUCGUUCAGCUCAGACACAGCGUACUGAGGCUGGUAGCUGUGGUUCUCGAUCAGCCACUGCUCCAGCCGGUGCACUGCCUCCGCGCCGUUGAACUCCUCACCCCUUAGCACAGCAGCGGGGGCGUAGUACACGCCCACGUCCGUGAACAUCUGCGCGUAGCUCGUGUCACCCUGCCUGUGCUGGUGCUCGAAUCCAGGCUCAGGGUACACCAUCGUCUUCACGGGCAACUUGUACAGACGGUGAGGGCACAGCCACAGCGGAUACACCUGGCAAUAUAUAUACGGAGAAAUGCUUAGAAUUAUAAUGCAGGGUGUGGUAUGCAGCAAUAAUAAUCAGUAACAAGAGACCACGCACCUCCAUCUCGCGGUGGACAAACUCAAGGGCAUCUCCAACCUUGUACAGCGGCACCAGCAUGUCCUGGAUCACGUGGUUGUCAUGGUAGUAGUUCCUGAUAGCCUCACCCUGGGUUGCCUUCAGCAGAGACACCUUUGGCGGCAUCAGCCAACCCAGCAGGAACCUGAACCAGAACUGGUCACCGAACGGCAAGAUCAGUUUCCCCUCCCAGUACAGGCACCUGGUGUGGCGGUGGUAGUACUCCCUUGUCGGGAUGUACUCCACAAACUCACCCCUCUUCAGCGCCGUCUGAGCGUGCUGGUAGAACCAAGGCUUAAACCACCACCCGACGCAGUUGAUCUUGUUGCCCUUCUUUGCCUCUUCUUUUGAAGCAUAAACACCAGUCAUCAUCACACCCUCGCUCUCAUUGUACACCAUUCCUUCAACAAAGUCAGGGACCUUUGCAGGGUCACCGUCUCUUGGCGCGAAAGAAUCAGCGUAGGCCUGCGCGAUUUCCUUCAGAUUCCCUUUGACUGGAAUGUACAUGAGCUUCAUGUAUUCCUUGAUGGGAAUGAGCUUGAUCUCAGCAGAGACAAGGAACCCAAGUGUUCCCUGGGACCAGGGAAUGCCAUAGAAAAGGUCAGAGUACUCAUUAUCCUUGGUGGCUCUAACAACACGGCCAUCUGCAAGGACAACCUCCAUUGCAACAACUGUGUCAGAGAAAAGCCCAUAGAGGUGAGAGCUACCCUCAAUACCAUAACCAUUGAUCAGCCCACCAACAGUGAGGUCGUCAAGCUCUGCGACGACUGCAAGGGCAAGGUUCAUGGGGCAGGUAGCUCUGGUAAUCUGACCCAUGUUCACAAGGGGCUCAACCUUGGCAACCAUCCUCUCUUUGUCAAUCUCAAGGAUAUUCCUGAAGGCAGAAAGGUCAACCUCAAAAUGCCUGGCACGCUUGUAGUCCACAUUGCGCAUGCCAACAGCAAUCCAGGGCUUCCUGGCUGUGCAAACAAGGCCAUCCUUCUUUGGGUUCCUCUGCUUGAGCCGCUUCACAACCUUCUGCACAUUCUCAUCAUGUUGCUUCUGGCGCUUCUUCUCUGACUUCAUGGCAGACCACAUGUCGCCCAGAUAGAUAUUGAAGUAGAUCAGAGCUGAAAUCGGAAGGACCACAAAGAUAACAAGGAUCCAUCGAAACUUCACCAAAUAGUCCACCAAAACCUUCUUCCUCUUGCGGCGCACCAAUGGUUCAUGCAGGUCCGCCAUGGUCUGAAAAGAGGACAGUCGAAAAAAAGAAAACAGAAGAGUUAGUUGAACAGUGGCAGUAACCAGUAACAGCAAGGGAAGAGCUUCUACACUAGCUGUAGAAAACAACUGGGGCAAGCAAAUUGUUAUCCGAACUGAUAACACAUAUCUUCACCAACAGCUGUGACGAUAAAGAUACAUUUAUCGCACUAACAUUUCACCAUCUAGCGUUUCAGGAAACGAUGAUGUAGCACAGAAUGAAAAAAUAAACUAUGAGGUCCAGAACACAAGAGCCUAUCAGGAGGCAGGACAUUCACAUGCAGCUGUAAAAUCUUUACCGCCAACAGUUGUACGUCCAGUAAGUACCCCUGCGACCCAAAGCAAUUUCCAAGACCACCACCUUGCAUUACAGAAACAAAACUGAGCCCAUCAAGUAUAUUCGGUCAUGCACAUGGUUUGGCUAUUAAAAGGAAGCAGCACAUAGUAUGCGGUAACUUUGCUAAAAACAGUAUGGACAUCGGCGAUAUACAUAAUUGGGUAAGGGCAUAAGGCAGUCUGGAUUCCAGAAAAAUUGGCAAUGUCUUUUGCUAUCUUUAAACCUAGAACCCCACAAGAGCACUGGACCAGCCUCUUAAUUUUUUUUCCUCUAGACUAGAGCUGUGACCUCGAUCAUUAUGCACCUAAACUAGAUCUGCAAAGGAGCAUCUGGGCAAAAGUAGCAAGCAGAUGGGAACGGUUUUGGGCGCAGAGCACGAGUUGGGCCUCCUCCCCUAACAAAACUAUAACUGCGAGACCACAAAAAAAAAACUUUUUUGAGUGGAUCGGAGUGCGGACGGAUUAAAGUUUGCACCACGGAAAAGUAAAGCUGGCCCUGCGCGCAAAAGGAGGCCCAAAAAGGGGGAGCGCCGUAGUUAGGAGUACUAGGAGUACAACGGAAGCACGGCCCUGCAAGCGUAAAAAUUCUGUCUUUUGCAAAAACAAAAAAAAGUGUAGAAAAUGUGGAGAAGCAAGUUCCAUUGAGCAGGAAAAUCCCUAUCCCUUUAUAUUACAGGUAGGGGUGAACCGAUCGGUUCCUGAAAAUUCUGAAGACCGAGAGCUUCGGUUUCGGUCAUUUCGGUUCGGUCUUCGGUCACAACCGAACUGACCGACCAACAAUGCUCAACAAAAAUGCAAAGUUCAGUAAAAAAAAUCCUCUGCCCAUCAAACACAAUCAGCACAGAAUCAGCUACAAAUGCGAACAGAAGCACCAUAUCCAAUCGAUGUACAGGACUGUACAAAUCCAAACAAAAGUCCCAGUCGAUGUGCAUUACAGCUACAAAUGCAAAAGCACCCAAUCGAUGUUGCUGUUCACGGAGGGCAAGGCCGGAGGACGCGCCUUGUGCACCUGCAGCCAGGGCCUCGCGCGCCUGGGCCAGAGAGGUGGAGAGCAGGAGGAGCGACGUCGGCACCGGGACUUGGGAGGAAGUCAGAAUCGCCACCGCCGGAUUUAGUGGAGGACCGUCUGCGGCCCGCGGGAGGACGAGUUGGCUCAGGCGCUCAGCAUGCGGAUAGCCGGAUGGGACAUGGGACAGAGGGGAGAGGCGCCUGCACCGUCUUUUGGGGAAGGGAGGUGAUACUGCCGUCGGCUUGGGAGGAGAGGAGGUGGUGGAUCCGUGGAUCUAGGAUUCGGGCGGAUGGGGUCUCGGCCGGCGGGGAGAGUGAAAGUAUGUUAUAUACUAGGGUUUGGUUAUUGGGCCCUGGGCUCUAUUUCUUGAUGGGCCUCGAUACAGCAUAGCGGUUAAUCGGUUCCCGAGCCUAAGGACCGAAAAAACCGUUAAAUUCGGUUAUUAAGAAAUGGAGACCGAAUUUGGGACCGAAAAUUUCGGUUUUCCGGUUUCGGUCUCAGGUAUUUUAGUUCGGUUUUCAGUCACGGUUAAUUAUGCCCACCCCAAUUAUAGGUCGCACUCACAGGAGGUGAAAGGACCCUGGUAUGCAUGAGGGAUAAGGUCGCGAUACAUGCAGCAACACGCAUCUAUUAGCUGCUUACUAGGCUGAUAUAUAUAGUAGCAUGAAGAAAGUAGCGCAGAUCUAGGAACUGAAUCGAUGGUGGUGGAAGAGAAGAAGAUUAUCUUACCAGGGCGGUCGAUCCGGUGGCGCAACCGAAUGGGGAAGGGAAGGGGAUCUGGUAGUGCUCUCCCGUCCUCCAUUGCGGUGCAAAUGGGGAUUUCGAUGGGAGAGGAGGAGAGUGGUGGGGGUUGGGUUUUAAACGCAUCCGGCCAGAUUAUGCUUCUUUUCAUUUUAGCUCCUAAUGAUGUUUAUAUUCCUUCCUCUGUUGACUCACAGCUCAGCUUAGCAUGGUGGAAGAGGACAAAAUCCGCUCUCGAUGCUUGUCGAUGGUAUUAAAUUUUUAUUAUUAUCAUUGGAAUUUGAGCCGUUUUGCAAGUCCGUAGAAUUUUCCUUUUAUUAUUAAAAAGAAACAAAAGGCAACAUGCAUGUACGAAGAAAAAUAAAUAACGUGGAUCUAGGAAGUGAACGGGAUGCUGGAUGGGAAGCGGAAGAAAUGUUAUCUUACCAUGCCCGACGAAAGGGCACUGCGAUCUGGCGAUGCAACUGGAAAGGGAAGAAGGAUCCGACGGCACUCUCCCCUCCUCCACUGCAGUGUGCAGAUGGGGGAGAUGGGAGAGGAGGAGGGUGGUGAGAGGUUGGGUUUUAAACGCAACGCAUCCAGCCAAAGCGGAGUAGGAAAUGGGGGUUUAUGCUUCUUUUCAUUUUAGUCCCUAGUGAUGUCCGUAUUCCUUCCUCUGUUGACUGACAGCUCAGCUCAGCAUGGUGGAAGAGGAGGAAAACCGCUCUCGAUGCUUGUUGAUGGUAUUAUUUUUUUUUAUUAUCAUUGGAAUUUGAGUCGUUUUGCAAGUUCGUAGGAUUUUCCUUUUAUUAUUAAAAGGAAACAAAAGGAAACAUGCAGGUACGAAGAAAAAUAACGUGGAUCUAGGAAGUGAAUGAGAUGCUACUGGAAGGGAAGUGGAAGAAAUGUUAUCUUACCAGGCCCAGCAAAGGAGCGCUCUGACCUGGUGAUGCAAUUGGAAGAGGAGGGAUCCGACGGUGCUCUCCCCUCCUCCGCUGCAGUGCCUAGUGUUAGCUGCAGAUGGGGAAGAUGGGAGAGGAGGGUGGUGAGGGGUUGAGGGAUGUCAGACAAUUUAUUUUGAGAAAACAAUUUCGAUUGGGAAUUGGUUUCUUUGGGGGCGAGGAAGUAGAAACUAGAAAGUGCAGUAACGUGCCCUCUGCAGUUGCACCAAAGAGUUUUCCAACGAUACCCAAUGAGGUUAUCAAAUCACUAUCCAACUUGUGAACUAAGUGUAAUUUAAUGGUAAGUUUUCUAUGGUGGUACCAGCUUAUUUGGGUUUGAGUCCUCAACUUAGCAUAAGUAUAUUUUUUUAGAUUUAUUUCAAGAUCCAACCGGACGACAUAUGUGUGGUUUAGCUCAAUCUCUCGAAAAUGCUCAUGGGUAGGAUUGUAUGAGCAUAUUCAUAGGAAUGAGUUCUCAAAAAUGCUCAUAGGAGUAGGAUUAUAUGAGCAUAUUUAUAGGAAUGAGUUUGCUUGCGUGUACGUACAUGCACUGUAUUUCGAGAGAAAAAAGUAGUCACUAUCUAACUUGUGUUGCGGGAGGAACUAAGAACUGCAUGGCGAACGUUAUUGCAAACUCCUUUUUGUCUUCUUACCUCCUUCCCCUUCGCUAAUAUGAAUCUUUCAAAUUGGGAAAUCUUAAUUAAACAGCUGCAGUUAGGCUCAAAUUGGGAAACCUCAGUUAAACAGCUGCAGUUAGGACUGGUUAGGAAGUGAGCCUAGCUCAACUAGUUAGAGUGGGAGGUGUGGUCGUGCACUCUAAUCAUUCAGAUUUAAGUUUCCUCUAACUCAAAUUUGGAUACCUAUUUUUUUUUAAUGAAAAAUCGACUAGGAGCUAGGUUGAUCUAAUUUUGGCAAGCGCUCUUGCGGGCGACUGGGCACGGGAGCUUGCUCUCAGUCCAGAGACCUGCGUCUUCUUAAUUCAAUGCAGGGGUGCGGUAUGCUCCUUCUCGCCGAGGUUUUUUUUUCUUCCACCUACUACUCGUAUUCUCUCUUGCCGCUAACUUCUCCGGUUCUCCCCGCGUGCUGCGUGGGACCCCGCCCCGCCUUCCUCAGCCGCUAAGCGCCGCCAGAUCGGCACAAGCAGCCCGCUAACUAAGCUUAAGACCUGUGUUACUACGGAAAUGCAACGACGCAAACACUUAAGAGCCAAAAAUUCCGCUUUUGCUUUGGUUGGCUGUCAAACUGCAAACAGCAGUUUUCCGCAGAGUGCAAGAUAUGGGAUCAAAACCAGACUGCAUUCCUGUACAGAGUCAUUAAUUGUUAAGAAUUACAGUUCCAUGGCCUCUACCAAUAGAGUAAAUAUGGAUCCGAAUAUACCAGGGCGCAAUAGCCACCAAUGAUUAUGCCUUUCCUACAUUUUGUAAUUUGUAGGUACUACAUGUUAGUAGCACGAUCAUCUUAUGCAGAAAUCAAUCAAAUAUAAUGCCAAUCAAGCCAUGCCUUGUCGAAGGCAAUGUGCAACAGCUCUGGCACUUUAUUUUCUGUUUGGGCCUGCUGUCCUGAGAUGGUUUCACGCCAACUGAAGAAAGUUGAUCUGUAAGAAAUCAAGAUAGUAACAUUGUCAUCUUCAUCUUCUUCGCUUAAGGAUACAUAUUUAACAAAACAUACAAGUUUACACAGAUGCAUGCAUAUUUGAACAAAGUAAGCAAAAAUGCAAAAGGUGAAACUACUUCACUGAAACCAUCAGUUUCAAUAUUCUUUGAUAGUAGGAAUGUUUACUUUGCACAAUUUGCCACAACCAAAAUAUUUGGUUACAAGAUUACAUGCAUUUGUACUGAGUGGGAUGUAUGGAAAAAUAUUUUGCACAGUGUGAGACUUAUGGCGAAAUAGUUGGCACCUUGCUCCAUGUGUUGACAUAAGUAUAAGAAGACAAUGAUUAUCUUUUUUUCAAUUUAAAGAAUGAGAAUGAGCUUUUAAGCGUGCAUCAUAAAGUUUUUUCUUGAUAAGAAAAGCAACAAUCAAAGAAAAGUUACCACAGAAGCGAUCGUGGUAGAUAUGAGGAUCCCUCAGGGUUCAGAUCUUCUCGAGCUGCACUGCCGCCACUGGCUGACAGUGUUUUGUUUUCACUGUCAGUAACUGAAUUUGAGUCAGCCUUGCUAGCACCGUUUACACAGUAGUUCUGCAGCCACCUAUCAGUCUCCCAGAGGACGUGCAUAAUACUCUCCCUUGCAGAGUACCCGUGGCUCUCAAAAGGAAGUAUCACCAAACGAGACAGCGCACCAUGCCCUUUCAAGGCAUUGAAGAAUCGGUCUGACUGUAGCAUAAAAUGGAAAAAUAAAUUAGAUAACACUCAACUGUUACCUACACAAUGCAGACUACUAACAUUCAUUAAUUAACCAGUAUAAAAGAAUAAACAGAGUAUUAAAUAAUAGCAGCAUUAAGAUAUUUUCCUAGAAAAGAAAUGCACAAGACAAUCAGAAGCGAAAGUGUUAUUUUAGUUUACUAGUUAAGGCACUGAAACCAAGCAGGCCUAAUUUCACAUAUGCAAAAUGAAAACUGGUAACCUAGAAAAACAAUAAAAAAGUUUUUAGGACUUGGUGACAUUUGCUUUUUAUAUUAGCCUACCUCUACUGAUACAGGUUUUGGUCACUCAUGCUACUUGUGCAUGGAAAACAAUAUUCUUGCUGUUUGCUAAGAUCAGCUAUGCACAUGUUAAAUUUGAAUUAGUGGUAAAACUGCUCGAGAAAACUUCAAAAAUCAUAUAAGGCAGCAAGCAGAUGAACGGUGAAAAGUUGACCUGCAUCGUCAAUGUCCCAGAAUUGUUGUCCUGCUCUCCAUGGAUGAGUAGGAUUGGUUUCUUGAUUUUGUUUGCUGACAUAAAAGGGCUCAUCUCAACAUAGGUGCUUGUUGCCUCCCAGAGUGUCCUAUCCUCAUUCUGCAAAAAGAUACAUGUUGUUAAUAAAGAGACAUGAACUGUUCCGCAUAUUGGCAACAUCCAGCAUUUGUCUGUACCUGAAAACCAAAUGGAGUUAGAGUCCUGUUGUAAGCUCCAGAACGAGCAAUCCCGCAGCAGAAAAGAUGAGAAGCAUGAGCUAAGAGAUUAGCUGUCAUGAAUGCACCAUAUGAAUGACCACCAACAGCAAUUUUAUCAGGAUGAGCCACCUAAAGAAAUGCAAAGAAAUAUACACCAUGUCAACUCUUGGAAGUCAUUGAACAGGAUGGAAGAAUAAUUUAAGUAUAUUUUCAUAAUGGAAUUGCUCCAUGUAUGAAUGAACUUUACAAAGUGAACCAUGAAAAUCACUCGCAAGUAGAUCCUCUGACUGCCACAAACUCAUUCUGUAAAAUAUAUCACUUAUACGUAGAAAAAGAUUGAAAAGGCUUACCCCUCUUUUAACAACUUCCUCAACUGCGGCCUCUGCACUUGCAACUAGUUGUUCCACAUACCUACAAAUAGUUUGCAAUAUUGAAACAAUAAAUAUACUAUGUUACAAUAUCAUAGUUCAAAAUUCUCUAGUACUGCAGAAGGAAAUGGAAUAGACCCGUAAGUAGCAAAUAUACCUGUCAUUGGCCUCUUCGUCACCUUCACCAAUAAUUGGGAUUGUCGGACCUGACAAAAUAGCAAACCUGCAGACCACAGUGUUGAGUGUGUGUACAUGUACCAGAAAGAAACAUAUUUGCAUCUAUUGAAAAAAGAAUGACAUCGAAAAUUUUGAAAGGCUAAAUAAGUGUACAUAUGUUGUAUGCGUAUUCUAUUGUCAAGAAUAGCAAGAAGAGAAAAAUACCCUCUAGCCAACCAGAGAAGAGGGGAUGUAGCACCAAUCCCUGGAAAUUCAUUAGGGGAGCCACGGACUUGCCCAGCAGCAUCUUUGCUUUUAAAUUCACCAGGGUAGGACCAAACUAGACAUGGCAAAGGUCCAUCUUUUGAUGGAUCAUAACCUGGGGGCAGAUAUAAGUUUGCUGUAAGUUGGACUCCGUCCUUCCGCUGGUAUCUUAUCAUUUCCUUAUACAAUGAAGCAAGCUGAGGAUAUGGAUGCGGGAAAUUCGUGAUCUUUACUUGCUUCUUUUCUGGCCAAGUCUGCAAGUAAUAUUGUGUGUUCUCUGUUUUCGAUUCUUUUGAUGUAAGUACCUUUAACUGGUCAAGGGACAGUUCCCCAUCAGUUUUGUCUGACAUCAGUGCAACAACAGUUUCAUAAUAUUUUUCCUUGUCACUCUCCCAUAUCCGCUCUUUACUUCCUGUAUUUCUGCAAAAGAAGAAGCAAUUGUAAGUGACAUGUGGCAUAUAUCGGUAUGAUUGUACAGUAUAAAUACAGAAUAUGAGUCAACAGAUCUAGACAUACAUAUCAAACAAAUCGAGGAAUGGAACAUUUCCUUCUGGAGUAGCGCCCAUCCCAUUCAACAAGACAUAAGUACUUCCAUCUUGCUUCUUGAUCUUUGCAAUGACAUAUGUUCCCAUGUCAGUUCUUCGCAACAUUGGGGACCCAGGAUCAGAGUAUACGUCUUCUGAUGAUCGGUCAAAUAAAAUGCGUGGGCUGACAUCUUUUUUAUCAGGAGAAAGCACCCAUGUUCUUGUUUUCCGAGUUUUAUACCAAGAUUCAUACACUAAAGCAAGAGAUUCAUCACACCAGGAGGUGCCUCUGCAACAACAGAAUGAAAAUCCAAGAGGCAACAAAAUAGAAGAGUUAGUUACUAAGAAAAAGGUAGCCAAGGGAUAAUGUAACAAACAUGUCAUCUUGUUUACAGGCAUCAAGCACAGUAACAUUUGAAUUAUUGUACCUCUCACUUUUUUUAGAUUGAAAGCUAUUUAUUCAUUUAAAGUUUCAUGUUAGAAAUAUUGUAGCAAGGGCAGUGAAGAAAAGCUUAAUGAUCCAACUAAUGUAGGUUAAUGGAUAGUUUGAAGGGCGCACGCAUAUCGAAGGUCCAGUUUAUGCAGAAUCUCUGGCUGUUCACCAUUUAUGGGCUCAGCAUUUUCCAUGUAAACUAUAUCACGAGGUGAAACUUCUACUUUUGCAUCUCCACCAUCUUGUGUCUCCACCCUGAUCAAAAUAAGGGUAAAGUAAAAUGAACUAUAACAAAGGAGAAACUCAUGUAAACAUGCGUAUAACACCUCUUGACAAAUUGAGUCGUGCCUAACUCUCAAAAUGUUGUCCAUGAAUACCAUAUAUCAACCGAAAGAUAUUAAUGAAACCCUAAGAGCAAUUUAUACCUAAGAGACCUGAUAAUUACCCGUACCAUACUUCAACAAAACAACAUCAAGACUGACCAUCUCUGUUGGUGAUAUUUUAAUGUGAGCAUGUGUAACACUGGGUUGGCAAUGAUAUAAAUCAUGUUUAUGAUAAAUCAAUUUAGAGUAAAAUUGGGUUGUUAAUUUAAAGCAAAUACACCAAUGUCACAAAAUUUACGCCAUAAUUAAAACCACAUCUAUCAAAUAAUUACAGAAAGACAAAAGAAAAGCUAUGACUACCACGAAAUUUGUGCCUUCUCAUAGACAAACUCCCUAUUUUUCAUGAUUCUGAGUUCUAAAGAGUGUCUAUGUUUCAACAAAGAAGUGUCCUAGGGAGAGUAACAAAAAUGUAACUAUACUACUAUAAAAGUCACGACUAGUCUACUAUGGUACUGGUAAUAUUUGAAAUUAUUUCUUUUUUGCUUAGAUGAUACAUCUAGCCUAGCAACCUAUCCUCUAGAUGAACAGUCACUAGGUCAGGACCUGUGGAUACAACAAAAAUAACAUAAAUUAUUUGAUAAAUUAAUUGGCUUCAAGGUGUCGAAGUCUGUAUGAUAGAAUGGCGGAUUAUACAGAAUUUACUAAAUAUAUGUAUUGUACUAUUUGACACCGAAAACAAGUAUCUACCCAUAUUUUGGACAUGGAAGUCAUUUAGUAUGGAAAAAUGUGUCACAGGCAUUGAUUUUCAUGUAUGUAUAAAUAAAACUGGUAUCUAUACCUUUGGAAGAUAAGCUAUGCAGAAUAAGUUAGAAGAGGCGGGAGCUAUCAAAUUUUAGUUCCGAUCAAAUCAGAUUAAGACCAUAAGCAAAUAUACAACUUGGAUUGUGAGUCUACACUAAUUAAACUAGCCCUGUAGAGUUUUACGAUUCUGGUACUUAGAAUCGGGAAUCCCUUGGAUGGCCUGACAUCUUCAAAUUCCUAUGUAAUUACUUAAUACAUAACUCAAGUGAACUCUUAUCAUUCUAUUAUCACUAAUACAAACUUAUGCAGCUAGGCUCAGUAUAAAAUUACAGGAGAAACUUACCUGCAAAUAAAUGAAAAAAUAUCAAUGCAAAUUUUAAUAGGUUUUGCUCAGAAUGGUGCUCUACCUACCAAUACAGAGUUGAAGGUUUAUCUGCCCUCCAAUUGAUUGAACGUUUUCCCUUGCGAACACUGCUCAUUGUAAUUGGAAUGUCCUCAGCCAGGGGCAAAUCACAAAGCUCCCUAAUAAACUUACCAUCUACAGUCCACAAUUCAACUUUCUUUGGAAAUCUCCCACAAGCUACAAUGUAGGAAUAUGGACGGUAGAUGGAAGAAACCAUUAGGUAUUUAUCAUCUGGUGAUGGAUCAAUGGAUGUAUAUACAGCUGGAGGGCCAAUUGGCUUCACCGUUCCAUCCAAAGAGGCUAACACAAGUUGUGAGGUUGCAUAGUAAUCAAAUAGAUCAGCAUCAUGUUCAUCUUUCAACAGAUCUUGGAAGGUUCUCACUUGGACUACGUUCUUUGUCUCAUUAGACUGGAUUUUCGGACCAGAUGGAACUGAUGGCUUCUGUGGUGGAGCUCCACGUGUCACAGGAAUAGUGCAGACUAGCAGUGUACUAUUAUUAACCCAUACGAAGCUGCAACAAUAGCAGAAAGAGCAUUAGGUACAAGCAAGAACAAGGAAAGGCACUGGCAUAGAAAUUCAUGCUCACCUGUCAAAAAUAGCAUUUAGGUAUAUCUCAGGCGAUUUAAAAAGUGGCCUUGCUUCUCCAGAUUCCACGUCAGCAAUCCACACCCUCAGCUUGCCGCUUUUGUUGUCCUCCUAUUUGAAAAACAGUCCCUAUAAGUAGCUAUUCAGAUACAUCAACUUUGUCUGAUAACUGUUUUAAAGCCAAGAGCCCAAGACAACCAAUCACCUCAUCAACUCGAACAGUGAAGGAUAUAUGGCGGCCGUCUUGUGACCUAUUCACAUGAUUCAGUACAUAAAAUCGUGAUUUAUGCAAUACAUAACAGAAACAUAAUUUAUUUGUGAAAUGGUCAAAAGUAAAGAAAAAACAAGGCAAACAGCUAGCAAGAUAAACUAUCGAAGUCGCUUAAUUGAAAAUAUAGAAUAUUACCAUGUGACAAAAUUUAUCCUUGCACCUACUGGGUAUCCAUAUACCUCUUUCUCUGGGCCCAAAGUCCCAUCAUCCAACAGCUUAUGGAUACCUAUUCCAGUGUAGAAAGACCUACAAAUUAGAUAUAUCAGAUUUGUGAAAUUCUACAAAAUGUGGCAAAAAAAACUUGUCAUGAAUGAAACGAAAUGGGGGGAAGCGCUUAAAAUUUGAUCAAAGCUUGAAGCACUUACAUUCUACUCCUAGUAUUAGAAUUGCCAUCAAUCCUUAGACCAGCAAGCUUCUCCUCAGGCUUUGCAAGAUCCGAUAGUGGUGGCAGCGCUCGACGCUUCAGGAACAGAAUCUUAUCUUUGUUUGGCGAAAAUGACAAGACAGGAAGUGGUGGUGCAUCAACAAUGUCCUGUAUUUCUUUUGGAGGAAGGCGGUAGCCCAUAUCCCCUGAUGAAAGGCCUGCAUGGUAUGCAAACAUAACAGGUUCACUGUACCAUUUUCUAUCAUAUGGUUUCUCGUGGAGUUGAAUCCAGGAUAAACAAGCAACGAUGAGCAACUAACACAAAGAAUAUGAUCUUCACAUGCACAAAAAACAGAAACCACAUAUGAAUGGCAAGAAUAUAUAGUCAAUUGAGUAGACUGUUUAAGAUCGUGAUGAGCAACUCGAUACUUCAAUUGUCUAUGUCACUGCCCCAGAAGAAAAUAUCUGACCCCAUUUGACUCCCAGGUACUAGAGCUAUUGUCAUUCGUGGCUAUCAAAGCAUCAGCAUAAAAAAUUAGUUUAUACAGCCUGGGGACAAUGUUCACUAUUGAAGUAGGUUCACAAAACAACUACUGAGACAGAAUGGCGAACAAGAUUACAGGCAAGUUGAACUGAAGUGCAGUGUGCUAAUCUAGAUAGAUUGAACAGAUACACUGUCUAGACAUCAAGCAAACUAAGUUAAGCAACAUACAACUUAAAUAGGUUAUUAAAAUCCUGGAAUAGUUUUACAAAGAAAGGAAAACGUAAGAAAUAGAUAAAGUGAUCUUCACCAUAACAAACCAUACUAGUCUAUCUACAUACUAGAUUAAUGGUACAAUCCGAUCACGAGCAAUCCUAAUCACAACAAAUCUUCUCGCGAGCCAAUCGACCAAUCAAGACGCAGAAGUCAACCAGAGCUCCAAUCUCGCCCCCCGCGAACCCUGAGCGAAUCCACCAAAACCCACAGUCCACAGAUACAUGACGCAACGGCCGACGCAGCGAUCGUUCCGAGUAAACGAAGCGAGCGGGCACGUACCAUUGUCUUCCUGGGCCGCGGCGGACCCGGCCGGCGGCGGCUCAUUGGACUCCCCGGCCGCGCUGCCACCGGCGGUGGCGGCGGCGAUGUGGGACAGCCUAGACGCGGCGGAGCUCAUGGCGCUCCGGCGGGGCAGUUGGAGAUGCCGCCGAAGAGGAGAGGGAGGGCGGAGUGCGGUGGCGCUGGCGCGAGCACGCAGAGGAGGGAGCGGCAGCAGAGCGACGCGGAGGCAGGCCCUGUGCAGGAUGGAGAUGGAGGACAUGAUUUGCUCGGGUCUCGAUUCCGUCUUGUAUACUACGAACGAGCAAGGGAUGGUGGAAUUGGAAUAGACGGGUCGAUGCUGCCUUUGUGUUCCAGUGGUGCAGAUAGACCGAAAGAUAUUUCUGCUCCUCUUCAGCAACUCAUCUUUGCUCAAAACGCCGGACAUACACAAAUUUCAUCCAAAAAAUGCCUUACCUGUCAAGUAAAUCUCGCAUUUCAAUUUCCAAGUAGACUUAACGAGUUUAUUUUUACUGAAUCGAAUCUGACGUUUGCGGCGCCUUAGCAACCACAUAAGAUUUUGUUUCAUCUGCUUCCUCGCUCGUAGAUACCGGUACCUUUUACUUUGGUAUCUUUGGCACUUUCUGGGUGGCAAAACUUUUCGUCGAGUCAUCAUGUCGCCACUCCCCUAUCGGGCCACCCUUGCAAAAUAGUAAAAACAAACUUUGAUAUCAUUCAUUACAUGGCGAGCGAGAAGACCGUUUCCCUUUCCUUUUUUUUUUCUUUUUUCCCCCCCCUCCACGUUUCUCUUCCAGCUAGUGAGCAGUGAGAUGCCUGCCUUUGCUGGUGCGGAUGUGGCGAGCAUUGGGAUGAGCAGCGGCCGAAUGAUUGGUUGGGAAUCCACCUGCUCUGCCGAUCCCAAUCCCAGAGUCCGUUCCUGCUCACGAUGACGGGAAGAUCUCGAGAGUGCAGGUGCACAGCCAGCACGGGUACAGUUGGGAUGAGUUGACCACGACCAUGGCUCACACGGCGGUCUGUUGCAGCUAGCGCUACUAGCAAGUAGCAUGUGAUGGUUUGUUGCAGUAGCUUGCUUCAGGCAGCAAGAAUCUGGCGCCUUGUUUAGUUGGCCAAAUAGUGAGAUGCAAAAUUAUUGUGCCAGCACUGUAGCACACUGUAGCGUUUCGUUUGUAUUUGUGAAUUAUUGUCCAAAUAUUGACUAAUUAGGCUCAAAAGAUUUGUCUCGCAAAGUACAACAAAACUGUGCAAUUAGUUUUUGAUUUCGUCUACAUUUAAUACUCCAUGCAUGUACCGCAAGUUUGAUGUGAUGGAGAAUCUUCUUUUUGCAUAGUGUUAAAGUUGGGAGUUGGGAGGUAACUAAACAUGGCCUGGAUUGCGCCAUGACACACAAUCACAUGCGACAAGUCUUGGGCUCUUGGCCAUUAAGGAGAACACACAAUGGGCGCUCUAUCUGUCCACUGUCAGUCUCUCACCAAACAAGCAGGCUCCGGGAGGUAGAGCAUCUCCUUGCUGCUGCAGGGCCUUACCAUACGUCCUGUGUUCUAGCGCUGAAAAGCCAUGUCAUUGCAGCAUGCACCAGUUGCUCGAUGAAUGCUUCAGGAUCAAUUCAGGCCUCGAAUGGAGAAGAAAAGAAAUAUCAGAGAUAUCCCAUCGCCCAUCGCCCAUCGGGGUCAUCUUCCUCACGGAAGCUCGGUGAACAUAUCUGAUUCGCAUCAUGCUUCGGUCCUUCACCACCGGUACCAACGGGGACAUCACAAUUUGAUCAAUCUAUCAGGUAUAAACUGCAACUUACCGGGCAAAAGCUGGAACUCAAUUUGGCGGCUUGGAGCUUACGCUUCUGACGCACAAAGUCAACAACUUCUGUUAACACACCCUUCACAACAACUGCAUCCGUCCCAAAUUGUAGGUCAUUUUGACAUUUCUAUAUUCAUAACUUUUACAAUGUAUCUAUACAUAAGUGUAUAUCUAGUUGCAUAGCAAAAUCUACGAAUCUAAAAAUGCCAAAACGACCUACAAUUUGGAACGGAGGGAGUAAGUCUUUAGGAACAGGAAAGCUGACCAGAUAUCAAGUAGCAUCUGCUAGAUCGUAGCAUCAAUUUGAUAAAAAAAAAGCAUUGUCAGACAGAAGCACCAAUCAAACAUCAAGAGACUAAAGAGCCGUCUCCCCAAAACAUUUUUCAACAAGAUAAUGCUCAUAACUUCCCUGUAAGUGGUUCAGUAAUGCUGCUAUUUGUUGCACAUUCUGCACAACCUUAAGGGUUGCAUGCACAUAUUUCUAUGUAUAUACAGUAGCCAAAACAAAAUUACAAAGAAGAAUCAUACCUAAUCUAUUCGACCGUACAAAAUGAAGCUAAACAUUCAGACAAGUAUAACAAAAACAAUCUAAUUGUUUCCAUGACUCCAGUAUAACACAGCACACUUCGGUUUGCAGUUUCAGAACAAACCGAACCAUUUUGAUUCUUCCUGCUGCUCCUCCGAUGUUUCAUAGUAUGUUGAUUCCUCUCUUUCAUGGCUUGUAUAACUAUCCGUGUAUUCUGAACCAUCUUCUGAAGCAUAUGACGGUGAUUCAUUCUCAGGUUGGAUAGACUGAAGCAUAUAUUUCAGGCCACUUAUGAUAUCAUAAAUCAUCAGUCCAAUUCUUCCUCCACCCCAGCUUCCUAGUUGGCUUCCCACAAGAUAUCCAAGUUUUCCAAACCUCUCCUCACCAUGGAAACCACCCGCAUAAGUUCCAAACAAGGUGCCAGUGCCCCGGAGAAAACCUUCCGUCAUGCUUCCACCAAAGUACAUUGCUUCGAAGAAGUCCCAACCAGAAGAAAUUAUUGGCCCCAAUAUCCGAUUGGCUUGACGAGCAGCCACUUUUGCCGCUUUUGCACUAACCUUCUGAGCUUGCUUGGCUGCUUCGGCAGGUGUUAGGCCUUCUGUCAUGGCAUCGGCUAAUGCUUUCUCCAUGGCAUGCUGCCGCACCCUUUCCAGGUGUGCAGUUCGAAGGUUGUUGACAUACAACUUGACACCCUCCUUCGCAGUGCAUGCAAGGCUGCCAGAGCCCAUGUCAAAGCAGUUCAUCAAUGUGAACUGACCACUCUUUGAUGCAGCUUCUUUUCCAACAAGUUCCCUGAACUUCUCAGCUGUAAAUUAGAAGUGAAUGGGGUCAUUCAGGAGAUAACUUUGCUUUUUAUUUGAAAUCAUGAAUAUCUACAAGAAGUUAAGUUUAGAGAUUUAAAAAGGAACCAAUAGUUUGCAAUAUUGGACUAUCAAACUGUUGUAUUCAACUUGCUUGCAGAAUGUCAAUUUGGCUACUUAGCAAGAGUUAUCUUUGAAUAGACCUGCCAGGCCGGUAAUAGGAGUAUGGCGAGAUUACAUUACAUAAAACAGAUUGCCAAACUUGUGCAGCUAACACUCUAUCAUAUGCAAUAGAAUUUACAAUCAAGUCAAUUACCAGUCAUUAAUGACUCAGUUUAAACUUUAAACACAAUGUGUUGUCUCUCCUAGUUCUUCAGUAAAGUGUAGGUAUGUUACCAAUACUAAGGCUUUCUGUUUGUUUUGUUUGGCACAUGCAUAUAAAAUGAGUGCUUGCGUCCAUUAGCUAAUGCUAGUGAAUAAGCACACGCUGUUCAGUAAGCAGCUGAUAUCAGGCAAACUUGUAAACUGAAAGUGCACCGGUUCUCUUAUUAUUGAUUCACUUGAACACCUUGUUUGAACAGGUAGAAGUUCUGGCUAUUGCCCUGUAGAAUAUAUGGAACUCCCAAGUCCCAGCUUUGACUCAAAAGCAGAACUAAUGGAGUGUUUCAUACUUUCAACUAUGGCUACAACUUCUGCACUUCUACAGUUUCCAUUGUUUCAAUUUACUUUUUAUCCUUGCAAUCAGAUGUAUAAAUAAUUAUAUCAUUUGUUGUUAUAAACUUAUAAUGAUGGUAAGUCAUAUAUUUCGUUGUAAUUGAGAGAUCUCAAAUCCACCUAUAGCAUUUGGGGCAAUGAAAUCAGCAACACAGUGGUUUAAUUUUUAAAUUAUAGAUGGAAUUCUGGAAACAGCUUCAUCUAGGCUCCAGAGAGGCCCAAAAACUUAGCAUUGCUCUUUGGCCAAGUGGCUAUGAGCCUAUGACUAAAGCAUAUAAGCUGGGUGCCUGUGCAGAACGAAACACCAUAAAAGUAAAUUCAGCAACUAGCAUAUACCAUCACAUUGAUACCUUCAAAAGUGCUGCCAGGAUGCUACCUCAGAGGCUCAGAGAUGCAGUGACUAUUUGCUCAUAUUGCAAGGCUCAGACAUGUAAAAUGUAUGGAUGACGUCCUAUGAUCGCACAUUAGUCCAUGCUAACAAAUAUUCAACCCACAAUCAAGUGCUGACAUGUAAUAAAACAAUAGUAGUAAACAGCUGCCACUCUAUGACAAAUUUAUAACUUUCUGCUGUAUUACAGCAAAAUGUAUUACGAGCCCAAUCAGAUCUUCCUGCAAAUUUAUGACUUUGAGACUUUCUGAAUAACUAUACACGGAUUUUAUUUGCAACUUUGCAGCUCCACAAUCAUAAGUACAACAGCAAAGAACUUAGCAAAAAUGGAAGGAGAAUUCCACCAUCCACAUCAAUCUAAACCAGGCAAAUAAAUGCGUAAUUGCUCCCUGAAAGCAGAAAUACCCCCUAAGGUACAAACUACAGAUCGACGAACCUAAACGCGUCACUACUCAAAAUUAAAAUCAGGUAACUUCGCUCCCUCACCAAAAACCAAUUACUCCCCAACAAUCGACGAACCUAACCGGAAACCAGCGCCCAGAGAUCUUCGCCUCGGAAACUAACAGGUGAAAUUGCACAGGAGAGAAAAGAUUGUGCAAUCGGAAAGGUAACCUGUCAUGCUGAGCGCAAGGACGCCCAAGAUGAGGAGCAUCAGCCGCACGCGCCGCUUCUGUAUGUCCAACAUCUUCGCCCCACCGCCGUCCGGAUCGAACGCCGCUGGGAUCUCACCUGCCUAGGGACCAAUUUUCCGUUCCCUCUUGCCACCGGAGGCAGAUGGAAGGAGGGUGAAAGCGAGGAAGGAGGCUGGGCGGAGCUCGGGGCUUCGCUGCCGCCGCGUGUUUGGAGUCUGAUCCGCGUUGCCUUCCUAAGCACGGCGUUAUUGCUAAUAUUAACUGACAGGUGGGGACAUGGUAGCGGUGGACCCCAUUAAUCAGUAUGAUUACGACAUGCUUUUCAGCCGCAGAUCCAGCCGAGCUACUCGAUUUAACCAUGUUCUUUGAACUUGAACCCCCACCCCCGCAGGACUGGCAACGUAAACGUAAGGGGACGAAAUUUCGAGGGACUCGGCUGCAAUUUUCCCCGUGGUCAAAGCGUGAGAGCCCCCCACCCCCCAGGGACCAGGAGCGGCGGACUUGGGGUUCAGCAAGGCAGCAACCGGGAUCCCAGACGGCGGCGAUGGACGGCGGCGGGGUCGAGGCGAGCACGACGGCGGCAUGGAUGGAGAGGCACGGGCAGAUGUAUGAUCGGGCCACGCGGCACCCGUUCACCGUCUCCAUCCGCGACGGCACCAUCGACCUGUCCGCCUUCAAGCGCUGGCUGGUAAGUCCCUGAAUGUGCCCGUCAAGGCGUCAGCAGAUGCAGUUUAAACUUGUGAGGUUCUCGUCGUGUGACGCCCCCAACUGCGAGAAAAUUGGCGUGGGCUUACCUUUGACAGCGGCAUGUCUGAUUCUUGACUCGGGGGCUCGGGGCAUGGAGCUUCGCACAUCAAGUUGUAUCUGUAUGUGUAGUGGAGUCUCGAGUUGCUACUAGAUAAGAAAAUUAGUGUGUAGGGCUAUAGAUUUGAGUGGUCAGUUGGCAUAUGUGUUUGAUUUAAAGUGGUGAUGGGCAAUUUGUGUCAGAAGUGCCUUUAGAAGACCUGUGAACUUAAAAUGGAACCUGAAAGACAGAAAGAGUGAAGGCAAAAGAUCUUUUUAGGUACUGUGAGUGUGAAGAUCUUGUGUUUUCAAAGGACUAAUCAGUCCUAGAUGUCGAUCUCAUCAUUGAAUUGUUUCUUCCAAUUGGCAGAAAUAACUUCUGAAAAGAAUUGGCUCUUAGUUGACAAUUGAGAUUGUUCAGUCGUGAAACCGUAAAGCAAUCAAUGAUCAUGUUCAGGGAACCGGGUAAAAAUCAACUUGACUCCUAGUUCCAUUGAGCGUAGUAUUAUAACGAAAGUUGGGUACUCUGUAUUAUCUUGGGCUCUUUUUUUCUAGGUGCUGUUGCGGCCAUUAAAAUCUCCUCCGAGAAAUCGCUCUCCCUUUAAUGAUUUGAAUUCAGUACUUCUUGACAUAGAUCUCCCAGUAGGCGCAUAUUCUUUUGCUUUUAUAUAGGAUACAUACACAGAAGUGAAGAAAAGAAACACUUGUAAAUGUUUGGUUCUAUGACGAUUCCUGUUACUUUGUGAUAGUAACAAAGUCCUUUACGGCUUUACCAGAAACUGACGAACUUAUUUAGCCUAGAAAGAAGCAGGAACACUGAAAUUUGAAGAUUUACUUAGUGAAAUAUGCUCUAUGUUUCAUUUUAAACACCUAGAAUUUUGUAGGCUUAUCUGAUAUCAAUAUAGUGUGCCUCUGCAAUAGCUCAAAGUAUUUUUGCGGUUGAUAGUUACAAGUGAAAUUCAGAUACCUUAUUAUAAAUCUGUAAUGGAUUUUAUGGCUGGUUUUAUAAUAACUGGGUUUGGUGUUGGUCAACUUUAUUCCCGGUGAUUUGCUUCAAAAAAAUUAUUUUUGCUAUCAGUAUCAACAGUGUAAAAAAAUAAAUAACCUUGCUUCUUUUCCAUAUUCAGAGCCAGGAUUACCUGUUUGUGAGAGAAUUUGUCACAUUUAUAGCUAGUGUACUGCUCAAGUGUUGCAAACAAGAAGACAGCAUGGACAUGGAAAUUAUCUUGGGUGGAGUAGCUUCUCUCAGUGAUGAGCUCUCUUGGUUCAAGAAUGAAGCUGCCAGAUGGGGUGUUGAUCUAGCAAGUGUUUCACCCCUCAAAUCCAAUAUAGAGUACCACAGGUUCAUCUCCGUCCACAACAUUCGCAAAGUUUCCCGCACAAUAGCAUGACUAAAGUUCUGUAACUGACAUUAACCUUGUCAUCAGGUUUCUUCGAAGCUUUGCAGAGCCAGAGAUUAGCUAUGCUGUUGCUGUAACUACCUUCUGGAUAAUUGAAACCGUGUACCAGGACAGCUUCGGUUUCUGUAUAGAAGAAGGUAAUAAGACGCCACCGGAGCUCCUGGGCACCUGCCAGAGAUGGGGCAGCGCUGAGUUCAAACAGUACUGCCAGUCUCUGCAGAGAAUCGCGGAUCGCAGCUUGGAGAAUGCACCAGCUGAUGCUGUCAAGAGCGCUGAAGAGGCAUUCAUCCGGGUACUCGAGCUGGAAGUUGGUUUCUGGGAAAUGAGCUCUUCUCAGUCUUAACUGGCAUCGUAUACUCGAACGAAAUAAAUGGUGCUGCGGUCUCAGAGAGUCUCAGACCCAAGCAUGUACUGUAUUUCCCCCCUGUAUCGGUUUCAUUUCACCUGCCUCCUGUAUCUUUGUCAACUGACAAUUAUAUUCCCCUGCGGGCUCAGACAUAAAGAGUUGAAAUAUUGUUUGCAUCUGAGAUCCAAACACCAUGUCAGCCUCAACACAAUACAACUUCUGACCCUGCAGUAUUGUACAGGCAUACUAUAUUGCAAUUUCUUCGUGUACUGAUUGGACUAUGACCGUUAAAUUCGUGGUCCAAAAGAAGGCAAUUUCUUCUUGUACAAAAGAAGCCAAUUUAUCUUAUACUAAAGCUAUUUUCAGUGGGAGUUUCAUAGGAAUUUUAUGGACAUUAAAUUUGUUACCGUAUAUUGGCAAGGUCGAGGGGUUUCAUAAAAAGGGAGGUUCAUCCCCAUGACGCUCAAUUAGCACAGUUACCAAAUUCUCAAUCUUAGUAACUGUGCAAUGAAACUGUCCAAUGAGACACACCUAUUUCUUAUAAGUGAGCUAAGACAGUUAAAUCUGUGGCCUUAAAAAGACGUUAAAUCUGUGAUCCUUGACAGCAUGGCACAGAGUAAAAUCAUGUUUCAGAAGCAUACCAGCAAAUAUAUUACUAAAGUCUAAAGAUUACAUCUUGCCUUGGGAUUACAGUAGGACCUUCUAAUCCUAAAUAUUUCUUGUGAAUAACAGACCAAUAAACAACCCCUGCUUUAUUGCAAACCAAGCCAGAUUAAACGAAGAAACCAAACUCAAACGCUCAAGGAGAGACGAAGGAACAGGUCCAUCAUACAUGCACUCAUGUCUUCAUGUUGCCAUCAUGCCACUCUAACCAAGCUAGCUUAGGUAGAUCACGUGACAGCGAUGGCGGCAGCCAGGAAGAGACUCGCCCGGCUCAGUCCUCGUACGUGCGGCACUCGUCAGUCUCGGGGUUUUCCUUGCAGUACUCCUCGAGCGGGUCGGCGCCCUUCUGCCGGUCGCGGGCGUGGCUGGCGGCCGCGCUGAGCUCCUCCACCUCGUCCCAGGCCGCCGCGCACUCGCCGCUCACCGGGUCGUCCGCGCACGCCUCCUGCGCAUGCUUGAUGCUCUCGGACACCUUGUUGGAGAGAUCCGGCGGCGUCGCCGGCGAGCUGGCCGCCACGGCCACCAGCCGGCGGUGCGCCCGAACCGGCCGUGCGACGAACGACACGGCGUUCUGGCGGAGCUGCAACGGAGCCGGAGCCUGCUGGAGGCUUCUUGGAGCCGGGAAAGAGGCUAUGGCGGCCAUGGCGGUGACCGCGCUGGCCAUUGCUUGGCGAUUUGAGAACUCUUGGAGUGGUGAUGGAGUGAAGCAGGGGA
rnacentral:lncRNA from 1 species